GGUACUUUCUAUUGUGUAUAACAACAAGCAGUUAAUAUGGAUUUCCUGAAUUGGUUAAUGUACUUUUUUUUCUCCUUGAUAUUGUUUCAAGCUUUCCAUUUGAUCACAAGAAGGAAAUUGGGAAGAUCCCAUAAGCUUCCGCCCGGUCCACCAACAAUUCCGAUCUUCGAGAACCUUUUCCAGGUUGGUGAUAAACCCCAUAGGUCCCUUGCCAAACUUGCCAAGAUUCAUGGGGACAUCAUGACUCUGAAACUUGGCCAGACUACUACCGUAGUUUUUUCAUCUGCAACAAUGGCCAAAGAAAUCUUCCAAAAGCAUGAUGCCGUAUCUUGUAACCGAACCAUUCCCGAUGCCCUUCGUGCCCUUCAACAUCACGAAGCCGGAUUGCCUUGGAUGCCUGUUUCAACCACAUGGAGAAAUCUUAGGAAAAUCUGCAAUUUGCAUAUUUUCGCUACUCAUAAACUUGACGCUAAUCAAUACUUGAGGCGCAGCAAAGUAGAACAACUCCUUGCUGGUGUUCGCGAAAGUUCCCUCAUCGGAGAAGCGAUUGAGAUACGUUAAGCUGCUUUCAAAACUACGCUUAGUCUCAUAUCAAAUACUAUUUUCUCCAUUGAUUUAGCCGACUCUACUCAUACUUCUGAGGAGUUGUUAAGUUUAGUUCCCAUGCAAAGGUGGCCAUGCACGACAUACAAAGGUGGUCAUGCUCCUGGAAUCGCAGCAAGCAGUGGUGCCAUGGUGUGCAGCAAUUAAAGUUUGAAGCUGCCAAUCUAUUUGCUAUUUUAGUUUCAUUUUGAUUGUUUUGUAAUCUAGUUCAUGUUGAACUAAGUAGGUAAAUGUUUUGAUAUUGAUUGACUGAAAAGUCAGCAAUGCAAGUUGUACAAGCUAAUCUUGUAAGUUUCAAUGCAAAUUAGUGGAGUUAGGUAGUUGAUUAGGUGAUUACUUGUUUGUUUUACUUAUUGACUAAUAUAUGUAAUGGCUUAAUGCCUUGUUGUAAUGUUAAUGAAAGAUAUCAGCUCUUUUUCAUUCAAUCUUCUUCUCUCUUUUCUGUUUUUUCACUUGCUAGUUUCAUCUUUCUGUUUUCUGCUUCCGAGCUUGCUUCUUCACCAAGGCUCGAGACUUACUACUCAAGCAAGACUUGAAACAGUUUGUUGCUGCCUCUUGCACCAACAAUUGGUAUCGAGAGCUCUUGUCUUAGUGGACCUGUUGCUUCAAAACAAGGAACUUGAUGGCUUCUUCAGGAUUUUCACCAGCAGCCCCACCAGUCUUCAAUGGAGAAGGCUUUCACAUAUGGCUGGUCAAGAUGAAGACUUACCUACAGGCCUUCGAUCUGUGGGAAGUUGUCAACACAGAUACUGAGCCAGCACCACUGAGGGCUAAUCCCACAGUAGCUCAGAUGAGGCAACAUGCUGAUGAGAGGACCAAAAGGCACAAAGCCAUGUCCUGCAUCCAGAACUGUGUGUCAGAUGUCAUCUUCACCAGAAUCAUGGCCUGUGAGACUCCAAAACAGGCCUGGGAUAAGCUUAAGGAGGAGUUUCAAGGCACUGAGAGAACAAGGCAACAGCAGCUGUUAAACUUGAGAAGGGAUUUCGAGAAUUUGAAGAUGAAGGAAGAAGAAACAGUGAAGCAGUACUCAGAUAGAAUUAUGGCAGUGGUUAACAGUAUAAGGCUCCUAGGUGAGCACUUUGAUGAGGCAAGAAUUGUGGAGAAAGUUCUCUCCACUUUGCCUGAGAGAUAUGAGGCCAAGAUAUCCUCCCUAGAGGACUCAAGAGACCUUGCUAGCAUCUCUUUGACUGAGUUAAUCAACACCUUCUAUGCUCAGGAACAAAGGAGAGCUAGCAGAGCUGAAGAUCACCAAGAAGGUGCAUUUCAAGCCAAGGCCAGAGAAACCUCGAGCAUUAAUGCUCAAAGAGGCAAAAAGCCUUGGAAAAACAGGCCUAAGCCUGAUGUUGCAAGAAGCAAUGACCAACCCUGCAGAUAUUGCAAGAAGCCUGGCCAUCCAGAAGACAGAUGCUGGUUUAGGCCAGAUGCAGUAUGUCAACACUGCAAGAAGAAGGGCCAUGUUGAAAGGGUCUGCAAAAACAGAAGUAAGCCAAGGCAGAAUCAAUUUCAGCAGUCAAAGGUUGAAGCUCGAGUAGCUGAGGACAGUAGUGACCAAGAAGAACAGGUCUUUGCUGUUUCCUGUGUAGCUUCUGAGAAGAAAUGCUCCAAAGGCUGGUUGCUGGACAGUGGUUGCACUAACCACAUGUCACCAGAUGCCUCCUUGUUUAAAACCUUGGACAGAAGUUAUAAAACCAAGGUCAAGGUUGGAAAUGGUCAGUUUAUAAGGGCUGAAGGAAGAGGAGAAGUGCUGAUAUGUACUCCCACAGGCAACAAGAUCAUUCCAAAUGUGCUGUUGGUACCACAAAUUGACAGAAACCUUCUCAGCAUAGCUCAACUGCUCGAGAAAGGUUAUUCUAUUGUGUUCAAAGAUAAACAAUGCCACAUUACUGAUCCAAGUGGAUCAAGCCUUAUGACAGUCACAAUGACUGAUAAAUGCUUUGAGGUUCACUGGGCAAAUGACUCAAACUCAGCAUACACAGCCUCUGUUGAAGACUCCAAGCUUUGGCAUCAAAGGCUUGGACAUGCUAACUUCAGAUCAAUGGCUCGAUUGGCCAAAGAGGGCUUGGCAGAGAACUUCAUCAGCUCAGUGGAGCAUGAUGAUGUGUGUGAAGUUUGCCAAAUGGGGAAACAGGCAAGAUUGCCAUUUCCUACAAAUUCAGCUUGGAGAGCUACUGAAAGACUGCAGCUGGUGCACUCUGAUGUAUGUGGCCCGAUGAGGACUGAAUCACUCAGCAAAAACAGGUAUUUCAUCCUCUUUAUUGAUGAUCUUACAAGGUUUUGCUGGAUUUUCUUUUUAAAACACAAGUCUGAGGUAGCUCAAGUGUUUGUGAAGUUUAAAAAUGCUGUAGAAACAGAAACAGGUUGCAAGCUGAAAUCGAUAAGGACUGACAAUGGCACUGAGUACACUUCAGCUCAAUUUCAAGCCAUUUGCAAUGAUGCUGGUAUCAAACAUUAGCUUACAAAUGUCUACACACCUCAGCAGAAUGGGGUAGCUGAAAGAAAGAAUAGAAGUCUGAUGGAUAUGGCCAGAUGUCUGCUGUUUGAGAAGGAACUGCCCAAAACUAUGUGGGCUGAGGCAGUAAACACUGCUGUUUACCUUCAGAACAGGCUUCCUACUAAAGCUCUUGCAUCCGAGACACCUUUCGAGGCUUGGUUCAGUUUCAAACCUUCCUUGGCACAUCUGAAGGUGUUUGGUUGCCUGUGUUAUGCACAAAUACCAGCAGCAAAGAGAGACAAGCUCUCCAAAAGGGCUCAACCAGGUGUUCUAGUAGGCUACAGCUCAGUCAAGAAGGGCUACAGGGUUCUGGAUCCCUUGACAAACAAAGUCCAGGUGAGCAGAGAUGUCAUCUUUGAUGAAAAAGCCUGCUGGAAUUGGGAGAAAAAUGAGCCAGAAGCAGUUUCAGAAGACCUAGUGCCUAAUCAAGCUGAACCUGAGCAGCUAGGACCUGAAAUGGAUGUUGAUGAUGUGCCUGUGAGAGGCACAAGGCCCCUAGAUGAUGUUUAUGAAAGGGCACAGGUUGCAAUAGCAGAACCUAGCAGUUUUGAAGAGGCUGAGGCAGAUGAAGGCAGGAAACUAGCUAUGGUCAAUGAAAUCAACAUGAUUGAAAAGAACCAGACAUGGGAGCUAGUUGAUAAACCUGUUGGAAAGAAGACCAUUGGAGUAAAAUGGGUCUAUCGAGUAAAACAGAAUGCAGAUGGCAGUCUGAACAAGCUAAAAGCCAGGCUUGUUGUCAAAGGAUUUAGCCAAAGGUAUGGUCUGGACUACCUGGAGACAUUUGCACCAGUAGCCAGGCUUGACACAGUCAGAAUGAUAGUUGCUUUGGCUGCUCAACAUCAGUGGAUCAUUCAUCAGCUUGAUGUUAAGUCUGCAUUUCUCAAUGGUUUCCUGGAAGAAGAGAUCUACAUCGAGCAGCCUCAAGGAUUUGUGAUCACUGGCAAAGAACACAUGGUGUACAGACUGAAAAAGGCUUUAUAUGGCCUGAAACAGGCUCCUCGAGCCUGGUAUGCUCGAAUUGACUCUUACUUACUCAGUUUGGAAUUUGAGAGAAGUCCCAGUGAACCAACACUGUAUGUGAAGAAGAACCAAGCUGAAACUCAGCUUAUUCUGUCACUCUAUGUUGAUGAUCUAUUGGUAACUGGAGGAGAUAGAAGAAUGCUGGAAAAUUUCAAAAGAAAAAUGAUGGAAAUGUUUGAAAUGUCUGAUUUAGGCAGAAUGAACUACUUCCUUGGAAUGGAAGUGAACCAAACAGAAAAGGGAAUCUUUCUUAGUCAGAGUUCUUUUACUAUGAAGAUCCUGGACAAGUUCUCUAUGAAGAACUGCAAGCCAACAAGCACACCAAUGGCUGUUGGAGUGAAGCUUUCGAGACAAGGGAGUGGUGAACCAAUUUGCGAGGCCAUGUACAAGAUUCUCAUUGGUAGUCUGUUGUAUUUGACUGCCACAAGGCCCGAUAUCAUGUUUGCUGUUAGUGUGCUAUCAAGAUACAUGAAUUGCUGCAAUGAUCAGCACUUUCAAGCAGCUAAAAGGGUGCUAAGAUACAUCAAAGGCACCAUUAGUCAUGGUGUAUUGUUAAAAAGGGCUGAAAACAUGAAGCUGAUAGGCUAUGUUGAUAGUGACUGGGCUGGAUCAAGUGAUGACAUGAGGAGCACAUCCGGAUAUGCAUUCAGUCUUGGCUCAGGCAUGUUUUGCUGGAGUUCUAAGAAACAAAGUCUGGUGGCACAAUCAACAGCAGAAGCUGAAUAUGUUGCUGCUGCAUCAGCUGUGAACCAAGCCAUAUGGCUUAGAAAAAUCUUAGCUGAUUUAAACCAAAACCAAAAGGAGGCAACAGAGAUUUAUUGUGACAACAAAUCUGCUGUUGCAAUUGCAAAAAAUCCCAUUUUUCAUGGCAGAACCAAGCACUUCAAUAUUAAGUUGCAUGUUAUAAGGGAGAUGGAACAAGCUCAUGAAAUCGAGCUGAUUCAUUGCAAUUCAGAAGUGCAAAUUGCUGAUAUCUUCACAAAGGCACUCAAUGUGUCUAAAUUUGUUAAAUUCAAAAGGGAAUUAGGUGUUACUAGCAUGGAAACUAAGGAGGAGUGUUAAGUUUAGUUCCCAUGCAAAGGUGGCCAUGCACGACAUACAAAGGUGGUCAUGCUCCUGGAAUCGCAGCAAGCAGUGGUGCCAUGGUGUGCAGCAAUUAAAGUUUGAAGCUGCCAAUCUAUUUGCUGUUUUAGUUUCAUUUUGAUUGUUUUGUAAUCUAGUUCAUGUUGAACUAAGUAGGUAAAUGUUUUGAUAUUGAUUGACUGAAAAGUCAGCAAUGCAAGUUGUACAAGCUAAUCUUGUAAGUUUCAAUGCAAAUUAGUGGAGUUAGGUAGUUGAUUAGGUGAUUACUUGUUUGUUUUACUUAUUGACUAAUAUAUGUAAUGGCUUAAUGCCUUGUUGUAAUGUUAAUGAAAGAUAUCAGCUCUUUUUCAUUCAAUCUUCUUCUCUCUUUUCUGUUUUUUCACUUGCUAGUUUCAUCUUUCUGUUUUCUGCUUCCGAGCUUGCUUCUUCACCAAGGCUCGAGACUUACUACUCAAGCAAGACUUGAAACAGUUUGUUGCUGCCUCUUGCACCAACAGGAGUUCCGAGAAAUUGUGCGGGGUAUCAUGGAAGAGUUGGGAAAACCCAACUUUGGUGAUAAUUUCCCUAUUGCUAAUCUUGACUUGCAAGGCAUCAGGCGUCGAGUGGCAAUUCUUUUUAGAAAGAUGAUGGAUCUUUUCGAUAAAAUGCUCAAUGAGCGGAUGGAGUUGAGAAGGAUGAAUGAUUAUAUAUCAAUUGAUGAUUUCUUGGAUAUCCUUCUCCAACUCAGCCACCAAGGAAACAGCGAAAAGCUCGACAGAAAUCUUAUCAAACAUUUGAUUUUGGUUGUAACUUAAUCUCUUUUCAGUAAUUUAUUAUUUAAGUUGUAUAAGUUGUUCAACUUGGUAAGAAAUUGUGAAACAGGAUUCGGUUGUAGGCGCAAUCGAGACAACUACAAGUACUUUGGAAUGGGCAAUGGCGGAAUUACUCCAAAACCCAAAAGUUUUGCAGGAAGCCAGAGGAGAACUGAAGCAAAUAAUUGGCGAGGGGAACUUGGUGGAGGAAUCUAACAUUACUUGUUUACCUUAUUUGCAAGCAAUUGUCAAGGAAACGAUGAGGUUGCAUCCAUCGUUUCCUUUAUUACUCCCCAAAAAAGCUGAAGCAGAUAUCGAGAUUCAUAGCUUCGUCAUUCCAAAAGGUACACAACUGUUGAUCAACGCAUGGGCUAUAGGUAGAGAUCCUAAGUUCUGGGAGGUGCCUGACUUGUUUCGUCCAGAGAGGUUCAUAAGAUCAGAAAUGGAUGUUAAAGGAAGGGAUUUUGGACUGAUUCCGUUCGGAGGUGGGCGAAGAAUUUGCCCUGGAUUACCAUUGGCCAUAAGAAUGUUGCACUUAAUGUUGGGUGGACUCAUUCAUUCAUUUGAUUGGAAACUUGAAAAUAACAUCACACCAGAGAGUUUAGAUAUGAAGGAUAAGUAUGGUCUUUUUCUGCAGAAAGCUCAACCAUUAAGAAUCAUUCCGAUUUCAAAUUAACAAUAUUGUGUUGGUUAUUUUAUCUAUAACUAUUGAAGUGUAAUAAGUGAAACUUAGCUAACGACAACUUAUUGUAUCGUAAAUUUCAUGUUUUCAAACUUUCUGCCAAUCAAAUAAAAAUCAUAUAAAUCUAUCAGAAGGAACCGUGUAAUGUGCAGCUAAUAUUAACAUUUGAACUUUAACGAAGGUUCAUUUCAUCUACAACCAAAAACUACUACCGCAAUACAUCUUCAAAAUACAUGGAAUAAGUAGCUUUUUUCGUCGUUACUUGAAGCUUAGUGCUCAGCCAUUUAAUUGGAAAGAGUUUCACCUUUGUUUCUAAGAUCGUUCCGAGAAACUAUGUAGACAAGAAUCCUGGUACCAAGGUUAUCAGUGUAUCUACAAGUACAUAUAUCAAUUUCGACAAACCCUCGUACCUUACUAGUGACAGCUCUUGUAGUUUUUAAAGAAAUGCACAGUUCAUUGUAAAUGGUACAUACACCAAUAGAUUACCAUUAUAUAUAGAAGUGACAAGGAUAAGCUUGCUAAGUUUAUAAUCAAAUUAUACAACAAAUGGGAUGUUAAAUUUGUCCAAGUUCUGAAUAGGGAUGACAAUAGAGCGAGACAGGGUGGAUGCUGUUAAAUCCUUCACCACUCUACAGUUAUCAUGCUCUACUUCACUAUUUGUCUUGCUUCACUGUGGAUGUAUAAUAUUAAAUAUUAUUACCAUCUCCAUAGAUGUUAGAUGCACCCAUCCUUACCCCACCUCACCCUGCUCUUGAAGAUGCUUUAAAACCAUUUUUUGUAACUCGUGUUUGCUUCUUCAUUGAGUUCUCUGCUCAAAGUAGGGAGUAAAAGAAGAAUAGUGGAAGUAGGGUGGUGUGGAGGGAAAGAAGAUGAACAUUAGUAAUGGGGAAAAAAGUUUAUAAAAAAAGAUGAUGUGGUGUGCAUAAUCAACCGACGUUAGAGAUUUAACAUUUGGGUGACUAAAAUAAAAAUUUUCUCUAACGACAGUGACCAAAUUGCAAGUAUUUUUAUUUGGAUGAUCAAAAUGAAAGCACCUAAAGAGUUGGGUGACCAAUUAGGUAGUUUACUCAAAAAUCUAUCUAGUAAUUUUCAAGAUGGCUAAUCUAACUUGUUUAAAAAUUUAAAGUGCUAAAAAUAUUAACUUUUAAGUUUAUUAGAUUUUUUUAACACUUCAUCAAACAAGGCCUAAAUAAAAAAAAAGAAGGAAAAAGAAAAAAUUAAAAAUCAUGAUGCUACACUCCUAUGAAAGAAAAUAUAUAAAAAAAUCAAGUUAAUUGAUAUGAAGUAGGUGUCCAAAUUUUCUAUUGAUAAAAUGUAGUUUAUAAGCUAGAAAAAGUUAAGAAAAUGUGGUUAUUGGUUGAAGGGAUUAUCUUGUCUAAAAGCUUUGCUUUAAUGAUUUAGAUGAAGAAUGGACGGAUAGAUUGUUUAUUUGGCAUCAUUACAACUUUUGACAUCACAAUUAAAAAUAGGUGGAGAAAUGAUAAGGAUUUCAAAUGGAAGAGAGAAAUUGGUAUCCCUCGAAUAUGUGAAUAUUUUUCCAUUUUUAUUUUCAUGGGAAUCAAUGGGAUACAGAUUAUUCCUGGGAAGCUUAUAUAAGUAAUUCAUAAUAUAUGUAUUUGAUUCUGAUUUUUCUAUAUCUGUCAUUCUUAAUUUAAUGAAUGAUAAAAGGUUAAUAGAAUACGUUAGGUAUGAAAAUUAAUAUACUUUUCUAUCUACGAAUGUUGAUUAUAUAAUAUAAAACUAAGAUGGUACUAAAUGUCAAUUCUAAGGCAAAUAGUUUCGUUGAGCUUCAUCCUUGCAAGUAUGAAGUGUGCUUCAAAAAGAGCUUAGAUGUUGACCGACUAGAAAACGGUAAGGGUUUCAAUUUGACCGCUUUGAACCUCCCCCCAAUCUUGAGGAUUUUGCAGCUUGGUGAUUGCUUUCUCCCAUUUUUCUUGCAUGUUGGGUUAAUUUGAAGCAAGCUUGGAUGUUUGUAGGCGCUGUUGAAGUAGUUGAGUUUCCAGAAUUGAAUACAAACGCUGUUGUUGUUUAGAUUCAAUCUCUUUAAGAUAUUGCCGAUGACUUGAAUUCCAAAUUGCAGCUUUAAUGGCGGACAUUGGUUUAUUGCUUCUUUACCCUCUGCAAGCUUUCAUUGAAAACUGAAACGGUCGGCCCUUCCAUUCAAUGUUUCUAGUUCCAUCAUCAGAAAGGAUCCAUGCACUAGAAGGCCCUCCAUAGCUUCAAAUCCCCACCCUAACCCAUCUCUUUACUUUCUCCUUCCUUUCUUUCUCUCUCAAUCAAUCUAAAAGCUUUUACCAAUUGGUCCUCUUUGUGUUAUGUACUAUUCAAAUGGAGGACACAACAGGAAGAUUAAAAUCUUCUCAGCAAGUGUUAGGAAAAAAGGGUUAAUAUGUCCCUUCAACUUCGCAAAUUAAUAAUACUUAAACUUUUUUCUAAUUUAAUCUGAACUGAAUUGAUAAUUUUUUUUAAAUUUUUGGUUGACUAUGUUAAAUUUUAUACUAACACACGUCUUAAAUUUUUUUUUUUGAAAAAUAAAAAUAAAAAUAAAAAAUUAAGAAUUUUAGGAAUUUCUUUUAUUCCAACAUGGAAAAAUCACAUUAACAACUAUUUUUCUAAGUAAUUUGGACAAUAAAACUGGAGUGCCUUAAAAAAUUUUUUUUGACAAUAAUCUCACAUCAAUCAAUCGAAUAUUAAUUAAUACAUAAUCAAUCAAACACUAUUUAAAAAUGGCUCUUUUGCUCAAAAAAAAAUAUUCCAAAUGUUAAGUUCAUUCUAAAAAUGUCUUUCUAGUAAUUUUAUAUUUUUAUAAUUUUAAAAAAAGAUUAAAUAUAAAAUUGGUACUUGAACUUGUCCACUUUUCUUAUAUUGGUACUUGUAAUUUUUUUGUCUUAGAUUGAUACCCAAACUGUUUUUAUGUCCACUAGAUUAGUACCUGAGCCUAACGAUGUUAAUUUUUUGUUGAUGUGGCAGCACUAGCCAUUCACGUUUUGCCACGUGUUAUCCUCUUUGGCUGCAAGUCAAACCCCCUUUAAUUAUUUUUCCUUUCGUUUUCUUUUAAAAAUUAAUUUUUUUUCCUUUCAUUUUUCUUUCACUAUCAUAUUCUACCUCUUCGCCUUCUAGCUCACUUUUAUCUCUUUUGUUUUUUCCUUUCACUAUCUGUUUUGUUUUCUACUUGAUCUCUUCGCUUUCUAUCUAUUUGAUUUUAUCUAUUCAUAACACAUCUUUUAAAGGAAGAAAACAAGCGAAAAUGUCUUUUUCAACAAAUAGAAAAUUAAGUGCUCAAAAAAGUUUUUGUACCCAUAAUGUUCAAAACAAAGAAACCAACAAAUUCAAAGAACAAAUAACAAACAAUAAAGAAUCCAACACAUUCAAAGAACAAAUAACAAACAAACAACCCAAAAUCUUAAAGAAGAAAAAAAAAGAACCUGAUAUAUUCUCAAUUUCAAUCUCAGUAACAAAUAAAGAAUUUAAAAUUUUCAACCCAAAAUCAUUUCAACUAGAAAAAAAGUUAACAACCUAAUAUAAUAGCAAGAACCUAAAAUGAGAGCAACAACCUAAAGAAUUACAAGAAUUUAAAAUUAUUUAAAAAUAAGAAAUUUACAACCAGAAAGAUAGCAAGAACUCAAAAAAAAUAAAUGAAAUACAAGAAUUUAAAAAACCCUAAAAAACCUACGGAUCCAAUGAACAACAAAGGCAAUUCCUCUCUUGAAUUUGUUAACCCUUAACUCCAUGACCUGAAGAACUUCUACUAGUCUCUAAGAAAAUUGAUUCUCUGUUGUUGCCUUGGCAGCGGUGUUGCUACUACUCCCUUUGGCUCCUCAACUCACUUUUAGCCUCACCAAAAGCCUCCUUAGUCUUUCUUCAGCAAGCGGAGAGUAUAAUUUCAAAAGCUCAAGGAUCAAGUUUUGAUUUUUUUUAUAGCUUUAAAGAGAUUUUCUUGGAAAUACAAGGCAAGAUUUGAGAAGAUAAGGAAGAGAGAAGUGUUGUAACACCCCACACCCGUACCCUACGUCGGGAUAAAAUACGAUGCGUUACUAAACUUAAACACAUGUAUUCAAAUGUUUCCGAGUCACCAAGACUUGAUCGAAUUUAAAACUUUUUUGAACCUUGUCUAAACUCCUUAAUAUGGGCCUACGAUGCCUCAAACAUUCAUUGGAAACCAUUUGGGGACCAACCUGGGUCAUUUAACUAACCUUAGAAAAAUAACUCUUAAAACAGGGCACACGUUUGUGUGGAAGGGCAACACGCACGUGUGGUUAUUAUAACACGGCCAUACUGAUAGCCCAUGUGACACACACGACCUAAGCAUAUAGGGACAGGUCCGUGUCCCAUGCCUGUGUGAAUUAAAUUCUAAUUCGAACCUACAGGGGUUUCAUACGGCCUGACACACGCCCGUGUCUAUAGCCUGUGUCUCUCACACGGCCAUGACACGCCUGUAUCUUAGCCCCUGUCUAAAAACCUUGACAUUAUGUUUCUGACCUCAGCAUCUAAUUUAGGGCACACGGCCAAGGCACAUGCCUGUGGCCAGAAGCCGUGUCCUCCACAUGGUUGAGAUACACGGCUAUGUCUCUACCCGUGUGUUUACUAACAUACAUUCUGACUUGCAAAUUUUACGUGCAAGGGACACACGGCCGAAUAACACACCCAUAGGGUUGGCCGUAUGUCACACACGGCUUAAACACACGCUCGUGUGUCUACCCGUGGGGACAAUAUAGGGCUAUCUACCAAGCCUUUGCCACCCUGAAACACAAUCUAACAUCAACCAACAUAUCAAAGAUUAACUUAAUAUGAUUUCUCAACCAAACAGCCAUAGCUAAGACCUAUAUACAUUACAUAUAUUCAACCAUGCCAACAAUUUCACAUUCAUGAAAGACUAGCUUGCAUUCACAUAAUAACUUUCAAUAUUAGCCAUUUUCCAUGGCCUUAUACAAAAUGAAUCAAAUGCUAAGCUAAGCUAUCAUAUUUGGCCAAUUAACAAUGACACAAAACUUAAAAGUCUAAGUUCCUAUACAUGCCAUAUUCAAAAUGAUAAAUCUAAUUAUACCGAGUGCUUCAGUUGAUAGUGUGAUUAAUGCCUCCGACGUCUGUUGAUCUUCGAGCUAGUUAGGCGGCACUAUAAGAAAAUAGAAAAGAGAGGGAGUAAGCAUAAAGCUUAGUAAGUUGUAUGCAAAUAAAUAUAGCAACAACUUUCCCAUUCAUCAUCAUGCUUAUAGUACAAAAGUAGGCAUAAGCACAACUUACUCGUCACUAACCAAUACAAUUCACAUAGCAUAUAUAUUGAGCUCACGUAUCAUACAUUUCAAAUAGGAACCUGUACCACUCACAACAUGGUUAUACUUUUCUCGUUUGACUUAAACUAUAACUCUUACCGUUGAACCAUUUGGAAAGCUAUUCGAUAUUCAUUAUGCCUCAAACAUAGGGUAUAAUGCCGCUGCCAUGUCUUAUACAUGGUCUUACACUGGCUGAUCCAUCAAGUCGAUGCCAUAUCCAGACAUGGUUUUCACUGAUUAUCGAAAUCGAGGCUGACGCCAUGUCCCGGACAUGGUCUUACACUAGCUCUCACAUAUUCAUGCCGAUGCCAUGUCCCAGACAUGGUCUUACACUGACACAUCUCGUAGCUGAUGCAUGUCCCAGACAUAUCUUACACUAGUACACCAAUAACCCGAAUGUCAUGGCAUGAAUAUCCGAUUUAUUUCCUAAUGUUCAAACGGGAGUUCCACUAUCUCAAUAUUUAUCAUACAUAAUCAUUUUCACAAACAAGCAAUUUAUGCUAUAUCAAUUCAAACACAUACAAUAACAAUGUAGUUGUAUUAUUUACUACAACUUACCUCGAUAUACAAAAUGUAGACACUAGUUCGGUUUAGUCCACUUGUUUUACUUUUCCUCGGUCUAGGCUCGGAUUUUGUAUUUCUUGAUCUAAAAUAAUAAAAAUUCAUCCAUUUAGUCACUAGAUAAAUUUAUACAAUAAAAAGUUCACAUUUUUGGCAAAAUGACCAUUUUGCCCCUAGACUCGAAAAUCCAUUUUUUAUCAAAUUUCUUCAUGCCUUAAGCCUAGCUGAACCCUUUUUACUCUUAUAGAAACCCAAAAUUUCCAUUAUUUCACACAUUUGUCAUCUAUUUUUACAACUUAUGCAAAAUGGUCCUUAGUUAGGGUUUUCAUGAAAAUUACUUCACAAAAGUUGUUUAUUUUACAACCAUGAUUCAUUUCCUUCCAUAAAAUUUCAGAAAAAAAACAUGAAUAUUCUCAUGUUAAAACCCUAGACUCUCAAUCAUUUUGCAAAAUAGUCCCCCCAUUAGCUAGCUCAUGCCACAAGGGUUCCAAAAGUACUAAAAUUAUAAAAAAUAACCAUCUAAAUCACUUACUUGAGAGGGAGAUGAAUGGUUGGAAGUUUUAACCUUCAAAGCCCUUACUCUUGCUGAAAAUUUCGGUGAAGAAGGAGAUGAGAAAGGGUUGAUAUCAUCCCUUGUUUAUUUUAUUUCUUUUUAGUCAAAUAAGCCACCAAAUUUUUACCUAACAUUUGACUAUCUAAUUUCUUUGUCUAAUGGCCGAUCAAGCACUAUUCUAGGGUCUAUUUUCUCUUUAAAGAUCCCCAAUUAAUGAUACAUGGAAAUUUAAGACCCUUAGCUAUCAAAUUAAGACUUUUGCACUUUAUGCGAUUUAGUCAUUUUUCACAAUUAAGCAUGAAAUCGCUAAAAUUAACUCACCAAAAUUUUUAUACUCUCAUAUAAUCAUGCCAAAACACAUAAAAUAAUAUUAAAAAUAAUUUCUCUGCCUUCGGAUCAGUGGUCCCGAAACCACUGUUUCAAUUGGGCUUAAAAUCGAGAUGUUACAAGUGUUUUAAUGGUCGGAUCGGCUGGAGAAGGCCAUGGAUGGUGGCAACUCAUGGCAGUGACAACUAAGGUUAAAAGAAGAGGAAUAUGGAGAAGAAGAGAAGAAGACAUUGUGUGUAACAGCCUAAUUUUUAGUGGUGUCGGAACAGUGAUUUGAGAUCACUGAAUCAGACAAAUGAGUAGGAAAUAUUAUUAAUUUAGUGAGUAUAAGUUAAAUGUGAAGUUAGGAAAAAUUUUGAAGUAGUGAAUAGUGUACUAAAAAUAAAUAUUAAAAUAAUUAGAAUCGAAAACGAGGUAUUGAGACCUCGAGAAUUUUAAAUCGAGCAAUAAAUAUUUUUAUAAAUAUUUAUGGAGUGUUAAUAAGUCAGUAUUAAAGUUUCGUCAAGAAAUUUUAAAGUUCUGAUAGUUAAUUGAACAAAAAAGACUAAAUUGUAUUAAAUGCAAAAUUGUGAGAAAUGAUUAAAUAGCUUAAAUGAUAAAAGAAAGAGGGUUUAAAAGGAAAAUAGACCCAAGGUCUCUUUGCGCUGGAUGGCAAUGGCAUGAAAUCAGCAAGAAAAUAAGGAGAAUUAAGGGAAAAAUUGCAAAAUUGCAAAAUUUACUUAAUAAAGCUAGGACUAAAGUGGAAUUAUCUAGAUUGCUCUUUAUUUUUCUGCAUUCUCAUCAGAAAAAACACCAUGGAAGAGUUCCCUUGAGCUGGUUUUUUUUCAUAUUUUUACUUCAGGUAAGUUCAAUUCUUGAUUAUUUCUUAAAUUUUUUUGUGUUUUUGUGACUUUUACAACUAGGUCCACUAGUUAAAUUCAUUAGUUUUUGAUUCUAUGAAAGAAAUUGAAAGUUGCUAUGAAUAUGUGCUGGAAGUAUAUGAUGAUUUUUCAUGGAAUUAGAGCUUUAAAUUGUUUAUAUGCUGAUUUUAUUGAAACAAUUGAAUAGAAAGUGAAUGUUUGGGACCUAAUUGUAAAAGAGUUUGAAGUUAGAGUUUUAUGUAGAAAUUAUGAAUUUAAAUAGUUAUGAAAUAACUUAUAAUGUCUAGGAAAAGUAUUAAUUGAGAAAAUUAUCUUAAUUGAGGGGUUAAUUGAGCAAGGACUGAAUUGUAUGAAUUGUGAACUUUGGGGCAAAAUGGAAAUCAACAUUUUGCACUAAAACUGUUUUGGACAGCAGCAGUAGUCUAACUUUGAAAAAUCACCAAAAAUUGUAGAAAUGGAAUUAGAGGAUGAAUAAAUAUGAAAUUAAAGCUUAUUGAGUCUAGUUUCUUAUAGAAGAAAUGAUGUAAGCAAUGGAAUUGUAAAUCAUGAGAUAUGUUAAAUUUUGUGAGACAAGGUCAGAAUGAUUUCGGGUUCCCCUGUUCUGACUUUGUAAAAUCAUCAAAAAUUGGAUAAAAAUAAUUAGGGCUUAAAUUUAUAUGUUUAGAAUCUUGAAUGAGUCUAUUUUCAAGAGAACAAACGGGAACAUCAUUCGAAUCCUGUACGAGGAGAUAAUUAAUUUUUAGUGAAGAAGGGUCGGAGCUGUCAGACAGCAGAACAGGGGAGACUUCAAUGAAUAAAAUGUAUUAAUUGGCCUAACCAAAAAUUAUGAAAUUUUUAUGGUAAGAAUAUAUAUGAGUAUAGUUUCAUAUAAAAUUAGCGGAUCUUAAUUUUGAGUUCUAUAGCUCUAUAUAUAAAUAAUUUAGUGACUAUGACACGGGUGGAUAGUCUGACUAUUCACAUAAGUAAUUAGUGAAAAUUAUGGAUAAGGUUACUUACAAGUGUGUUAUUUAUACCAAGGAUGUGGAUGGAGAGGAGGAGGGGGAAAAAUAUACGAAUGACUCGUGUAUAAAUUAAAUACAUGCCCGAUUAUAAUCGAUAAGUGUUGGAUUAGAAAUGAUAUAAUGUUUUAUGUGGAAUAUUUAUUAUGAAAUUAUGAUUAUCGUUAUAAUACAAAAUUUGUACUUGUGAGUUUAUAUGGCUAAAUUUUAGUGAUUAUUUGUUAAUUUUAUGAAUUUCAUGAUGUGUUAUUUCAUAUGUAUUAAUGAUAAAAUCGUGGAUAAUGUAAAAGUAUGAAAAUUGAAUAAAUGAUCAAAUUGAGCAUUUCAGUUCAGUGACAAGAUGAAUUAAAGGAAAAGACCAUAGUUGGACCAUGGCAACAAGUGAUAAGUGAUAGCUUCGGCUACACUUAUCUGAUCAAGGAUAAGUGAAAGUGAUAAGUAAUAGCUUCGGCUACACUUAUCUGAUCAAGGAUAAGUAAAAGUGAUAAGUAAUAGCUUCGGUUACGCUUAUCUGAUCAAGGACAAAUGACAAGUGAAAAGUGGUAGCUUUGGCUACCUGAUCAGUGAAAAGUGGUAGCUUCUGCUACCUGAUAAGUGAAAAGUGGUAGCUUCUGCUACCUGAUCAGUGAAAAAUGGUAGCUCCGACUACCUAAUCAAUGAAAAAUAGUAGCUCCGGCUACCUGAUCAGUGAAUAGUGGUAGCUUCGGCUACAAGUGACAAGUGAUUUCCGUAUAAGACCAUAUCUGGGAUAUGGCAUCGGUGUGAUAUAUGCUACUGUAUAAGACCAUAUCUGGGAUAUGGCAUCAGUGAGAUAUGUGAUUUGUGUAAGACCAUAGCUGGGCUAUGGCAUCGAUAUGUGAUAUGUGAUUACGUGUAAGACCAUAGCUGGGCUAUGACAUCGAUAUAUGAAGAUGUGUAAGACCAUAGUUGAACUAUGACAUCGAGUAAACGAAGUACUCAAUUCCGUAUGACGUUCACUAAUUUGACAAAGUUUGGUAAGUGUUACAUGGAAUUAUGUGAUACAUGAAGUACGAGUUGAUAAGAUAUGAGUAUAGAACUUGGUUGAUAAAUGAAUUCAUUUGUGAUUAUAUAAUUGUUCAUCUUGAAUGUACUAUCCAUAUGUAUUGAUAAUUCAAACGUAUUAAUGAAUAAAGUUCCAACAUGGAAUAAAUUAAACACGAGACAAAUAAUUAUGAAAUUGAACUCGGAAUUCAUGAAAAUGAUGGUUAUUGAUAUAUAGAGACAUGAGACAUUGGUAUAUGAAUAUGGAAAAUAUUUGAUAAAUGUGUUUAUUCAUAAUUAUGGAAUUAUAUACCUCAUGUGUACUAUUUGCAUAAAGAUGAUAUUUCAAAUACUUUGGUUAUUUAAGCUUAAAUAUGAAACAGUAUGAAAUCAAGAUAAGUUGUUAUAAAAAUAUAUUUAGAUUACAGAGAUAUGGCUAAUGUAUGUUGUAUGAUUACAUAACGUGAAAUUGUGUAUAUAUAUGAGAAAUUUAAUGAGAAAUGAGCCCAUACACGUUUCUUGUUAUUUAUAUGAAGUGUACGACUGACAAGGGUGAUGAAGUUAUAAACAGAGAGUUACACGGGUUGAAAACACGGGCUUGUGACUCUCCAAAGUGUGAAAAUUUUCUAAGUGUUGCAAAAGUUUCAUAUGUUUACGGUUUGGUCCCGAACCACCCUGAAUGUAUGUUUUGGGCCCCAUAGGCCCAUAUAAGGGACGUUAAACAUAUGUAUGAAAGUUUUUAAUUUAGAAGAAAUUUUAUGGCUGAUUUUUACAUGAUUGAUCAUAUUAAGUUCGGUAAUGCCUCGUACCCUAUUCUAGGCUCGGAAUAUUGGUAGGGGGUGUUACAUUGUGGCCAGGGUAGGAAAAAGAAAAAGAAAAGGAAGAAAAUGAGGAAAAAUGAAAAAAAAAGGUACAAAGAGGAUGACAUGUGGCACCAUAUGAGUGGUCAGUACUACCAUGUUAGCUCAAAAGUAACAAUGUUAUGCUUAGGUACCAAUAUAGUUGACGGAAAAAAAGUUUGGGUACCAAUUUAAGAUAAAAAAAAUCAUAAGUACCAAUCUGAGAGAAGUGGAAAAAUUUGGAUACUAAUUUAUAUUUAUCCUUUUUAAAAAUUAAAAUAUAAAAUUAUGGUGUAAAAUGACAACAAGAAUUUUAGAUAAUUUUCAAUUUUUUAUAUUUUGACCUUUUCUUAAAUUUUAGGAUGUUUAUUGUUUUUUUAUUGAACAGGCAUAAUCAACCUUAACAAAUGACUAUGGACAACAACGUCUCCAAAUUCAUUCUUAAUGUUUCCUUUUUAAUAAUUUUUAUUUUUAAUAAUUUAAAAUAAUAAUAAAUUUAAAAUAAAUUCCAUAUUUUAAAAUAAGCCUUAAACUUCAAUACUUAAAUUAUUUAUAAUCAUUUUAAAUUUUCAAAUAUUCAACAAUAUAAAAAUUUAAAACGCAAAUUUUUAUAUAUUUAACCAAAUAAUUUAUAUUUGAUUUUUUUUAUUUUGAUAUUUGAUUUUUUAAUUAUCCUUGAGAACGUUUUUUUUUAAUUCUCCAAUUAACCAAAAUUUUAUUUAAUUAUAAAAAUCCAAUUUAAGGAAACUUUCGAUUGUGUUAGUAUGUUUAUUUUUCAUCCCACUUGAAUUUUUUUAUAAAAAAAUUUGGAAUUCAUUUUUUAUUUAUAUUAUUAUUUUUGAAAUUAUAAAAAUAAAAUAAAAUUCCCAUAUAUAUAUGUUUAGAAUGAACAUGGUCACACUGUUAUCUAAAUUUAAAUAAAUCUAGAAAAUAGUUUGUUUAAGUUUAUUUUACACAGGAAAUUAAAAAAUUAAAAAAUUUCUAAAAAACCUAUAGCUUAUUUUAAAGUAAUACUUUUUAUGCUAUUAUUUUUUGAAAUCAUAAAACUAUUAGAAAUACAAGUUUAGAAUUAACCUAAACAAUUAUUUGUUGUGAUUCAUUAUAUAUGCACAUGAAAUUAAAAAAAUAAAAAUCCUAAAAUUUCUAAUUUUCUUUAAAGAAAUAGAUAUAUUUUAAGACACACGUGAAUAUUCUAUUGGUUUUUAGCAUAAAAUUAUAAAAUUUAAUGCCACCAAAGUACCUAAAAAUUAGGUAUAAACUAAGAGAAAUUAGGUAUAAAUUAAGUACUCCAAGUUGAAAGGCUAAGAAAAAACUGGAAAUUAAAAUGUUUUUACUACUGCCACAAUAAAUAUAGUGCAUAGCUAAAUAGUUAGUAUAGGGAAGAGGAUGAUUCUCAUGCAAAGUAAUAUUGUAAUUUUUUUUUAUUUUUUUGAUAACCGUUUUAAAUUUAUUAAUAUUUUUAAAAAAUAUUAAAUAUAUGUAUAUAAAAAUAUUAAAUAAAUAAAUUUCCAAUAUGAAACAUGCAUCAAUUAUAUAAAAUACUAAUCAAUAAAGUUUACAAAUAAAAAAAAAUAUUUUGCAACAAAUGUCAAUAUUAUCUCAUUAAUUAAACAACAAAAUAACUAAACAUAUUAGAUGAAAGGUGCAUAAAAACUUACGCACGAAGCUAUGUUCAUGAAUCUUUAAGCUUCUCGCCUUGUAAUUGUUAUAUAAAAUUUGAUAGCCGAAAAAUUCUAUUGUUUACAUUUCGUGUAACUCAUGUAUCGUAUUUGCUUGAUUCUAUCUCUGUAAUUGUUGAUUUAGUUAAUGGUUCAAAGUAUUAAGGUGUUAGGUACUAAUUAUGAAUGUUGAUUAAAUAAUAAUAAUAAUAUAAAAUAAAAAUGCAUGGCAAAUCAGAUGUGUAAUAGUAGUAGCUACAAUAGAUCUCAAAAUUUAGGGUGGUAAAGCCUUUGUGCUGUUGGUUACUAGCAUUUUGAGCCUGUGCCAUUUGACAAUGAAAGCCUUUUAAAUUUGUGUAACAUUAUAUAAAUUGCUAUAAAAUUAUUGCUUCAUUCAAAACAAAGAAUUGGUAUUUCUUAUACACUGAAAGAGGUACUUUCUAUUGUGUAUAACAGCAAGCAAUUAAUAUGGAUUUCUUGAGUUGCUUACUGUACUUUGUUUUCUACUUGAUCUUGUUUCAAGCUUUCCAUUUUAUCACAAGAAGGAAACUGGGAAGAACCCACAAGCUUCCGCCCGGUCCACCAACAAUUCCAAUCUUCGGGAACCUCUUUCAGCUUGGUGAUGAACCCCAUAGGGCCCUUGCCAAACUUGCCAACAUUCAUGGGGACAUCAUGACUUUGAAACUUGGCCAAACAACUACGCUAGUUCUUUCGUCUGCAGCCAUGGCCAAAGAAAUCCUCCUAACGUACGAUGCCAUAUCUUGUAACCGAACCGUUCCAGGUGCCCUUCGUGCCCUUCAACACAACGAAACCGGAUUGCCUUGGAUGUCUGUUUCAACCACAUGGAGAAAUCUUAGGAAAAUCUGUAAUUUGCACAUUUUCGCUAGUCACAAACUUGACGCUAACCAACACUUGCGGCGUAGCAAAAUAGAGCAACUCCUUGCUGAUGUUCGUGAUAGUUCCCGCGUAGGGGAAGCGAUCGAGAUAUCCACCAGUUGUUUUCAAAACUACACUUAAUCUUUUGUCCAAUACUAUUUUCUCUAUCGAUUUAGCUGACUCUUCAGAUAGUGCUCUGGAAUACCAAAAAAUUGUGCGAGGUGUCAGGGAAGAGUUAGGAAAACUCAAUUUUGGUGAUUAUUUCCCUACUCUUCUUGAUAAUCUUGACUUGCAAGGUAUAAGGAGGCGGAUGUCGAUUCAUUUUGAGAAGUUGAUGAAUAUUUUCGACAAACUGAUAGAUGAGCGGUUGGAGUUGAAAAAGAUGGAUGAUUAUAUAUCAACUAAUGAUUUAUUGGAUACUCUUCUCCAACUCAGUAAACAAGAUAGCAACGAAGAGCUCGACAGAAAUUUGAUAAAGCAUUUGAUUCUGGUUUUUAACUUCAUCUCCUUUCUGUCUUUUAUUAUUUAAUUUCAUAACUUGGUAAUAAGAAAUUGUUUUGAAACAGGAUUUGUUGAUAGCGGGGACGAAUAGUACUUCCAGUACUUUGGAGUGGGCAAUGGCAGAAUUAUUCCAUAACCCAAAACCUUUACGGGUAGCUCGAAGAGAACUGCAACAAGUAAUUGGCGAAGGGAACCCAGUGGAGGAAUCCCACGUUACUUGUUUACCUUAUUUGCAAGCAAUUGUUAAGGAAACGAUGAGAUUGCAUCCUCCAAUUCCCUUGUUACUUCCUCGAAAAGCUGAAGAAGAUAUUGAGAUUCAUAAUUUCGUGGUUCCAAAGGGUGCACGAGUGUUGAUCAACGCAUGGGCUAUAGGUAGAGAUCCUAAUUUUUGGGAGGAACCUGACUUGUUUCUUCCUGAGAGGUUCAUAAGAUCAACAAUUGAUGUUAAAGGAAGGGACUUUGGACUCAUUCCAUUUGGGAGUGGUAGACGAAUUUGCCCUGGAUUGCCACUAGCCAUGAGAAUGUUGCACUUAACGUUGGGUACACUUAUUUAUUCAUUCGACUGGGAACUUGAAGAUGGAGUUACACUUAAAAGUUUAAGCAUGGUUGAUACAUGUAAUCUUGUUCUACAGAAAGCUCAACGAUUAAGACUUAUCUCACGUUCAAUUUAAUAAUAUUGUAUUAAAUUGAAGAGAAAUAAUUGGAACUUAGAAAAUAAGCUUUAAAAUAGCAAUAAUUCCAAAAAUUCUAUUGUUUACAUUUUCGUCGGAGCCAAUGACAUAUAGAUUAUUUUCGUGUAAUUUUAUGUAAGUAAUUCAAAUUAUAUUUGCUUGAUUCUAUCUUUGUAAUUGUUGAUUUAAUCCAUGCCCCAGCCCCCGUAAAAUGUAAAAUUAUUUUUAGGCCCUUAAAAUUUUUUAAAAAUUUUAAAUUAAUAAAAGUAAAAUUACACUUUGGCCCCCCUAAAAUUAUAAAAAUUCGUUUUAAUUCUUUACAAAUUAUAAAGAUAUAAACUAUAAAAAAUUAAAAUUUCAUCCGGCCCCCUAAAACAUUUUUCGGUACAUAAAAUAGAUUAAGGUGUUAGGUAUGAAAUUUAAUUAUGAAUGUUCAUUUACUAAUAUAAAAUAAAAAUGCAUGGCAAAUCAGAUGUGUAAUAGUAGUAGCUACAAUAGAUAUAAAAAUUAUCUUCUCAGAAUUUAGCCUUGUAGCCGUACCAUUUGGCAAUGAAAGCCAUUUAAAUUUGUGUAAGCACUACAGCAAAACUGACUUUUAGCGGCAUUUUUAGGCCUUUAGCGGCGCUUUUAAGCGCCACUAAAACUAUUAGCGGCGUUUUUGCAAGCGCCGCAAAAAACAUCGCUUUUCCCACAAACGCCGCUAAAGGUCAUAAAAAUUAAAAAAAAAUAAAAUAUUAUAAAAUAUUGUAAAAGUCCUAAAAAAUAUAAAAAAAAUAAAAUUCAUUAUCAAAAUAUUGAGAAGAAGAAUAAUCUAUGAUAUAAAUACAUCCCGCCAAAUACCGCACUUAUCAUACUACACCAGAAAUCUAACAAAAUACAAAUAGAACAAAAUAAGGAUGAAUGAAAGACAUUAAUGAUAUAUAAAAUCAUUGUUUCUAAUGCAUAUGUAGAAAUCAAGCCAUGGUGUGCACCAAGGAUCCGGCUCUCGUAAUAGCACCAGGCCUUGAUCAAAAUAAUAAUACUGCGUUUGAAAAGAUGAUCUUUUCCAAUUAGCUGGUCAACCUGAAAAAUAAACAGUUCAAAAGAAGUCAUAUGUCAAUUAAACUUGCCACCUGUAAUAUCCCGAAUUAGGGCCUAAUCGGAAUAGUGGUUUCGUAACCACAAAUCGGAGAUAGAAAUAAUUAUUUUAUAAUUAUUUUGAGGUUUAUGAUAUGAUUGCAUGAUUGUGUGAAAAUUUCGUAAUGAAAUUCUAUGCCUAAAGUGCUUAAAUUGAAAGUAGGGACUAAAUCAAAUAAGUUGCAAAACUUGCAUUCCAGAAGUUUUUAGUAUAAAAUUGUUUUGGAAUAUUAAUGAGGAGGUCUUAAAUAGCAAUUUGACCAAUUUUAAGUUCAUGGACAAAAUUAGGACAUGGAAGGAAUUUUUGGAAAGUUUAGUAGUAAGGGUAUUUUGGUCAUUUAGUUAUUAAAAUGAAUUAAAAACAAAAUUAAAAGUCAAUUUUUGUCCAUCUUUUUCAUUAGGCCGAAAUUUCAAGGGUUCUCCAUAGCUAGGGUUUGUUUCAAGCUUCCAAGCUCCAUAAUCAAGAAAGACGUGGAAUCGACCUCAAUCGAGGAAAAGAAAAGAUUGUGGACUAAAUUACAAAAUCUUUGUAUUUUGGUACCAAGGUAAGUUCAUGUGUAAAUAAUGUAGCAUAAUGGUUAUUUUUAAAUUAUUGAUGUUAAUUAUAUGUUAUGCUAAAUUUUAUUAUGAAAUGUAUGUUUUGUGGUUAAUUUAAAAUAAUAUGUAAAUUAUGUGAACUACUUGUUAAAUAUAAUUGUUACCGAGUAUUGAUUUCGGCAUUCUACGGAAGACGGCAAGGAUAAGUGUUCGAGGAAAAAGCCCGUUUGAACCUUAGGAAUAGAUUAGGAUACAAGUGACAUGUCACUAGGAUGGUUGAGCAUCCGAACUCGUUGAGUUGAGUCCGAGUUCACUUAUGGAUACGAAUGUCCGAACUCGUUGAGUUGAGUCCGAGUUCGUGAGAUGUAACUAGGCAGCCGAACUCGUUGAGUUGAGUCCGAGUUCACUCAUGGAUGCGAACGCCCGAGCUCGUUGAGUUGAGUCGAGUUCGCUUAUGGGCGGGUUACAUGAUUGCUUGAUUGAAUAUGUGGCACUUAUAUGCAAAUUAUCCAUGUAUCCGAAUUAUAUUCCGAUGUGUUCAACGGGUAAAGUUCUACUCAAUGGAGGAAUAUUCGAGAUGUAAAGAGAAGUAUUGGUGAGUGAUGUGAAAUGGAUAUUUUGGACAGGUAUGUAUUUAACCCUCGGGUUGAGUAUUGAUACAACCACUAUAAGGUAAUAAGAUGAUGAAAAAUGAUCAGAAAUGUGAUAUGUGUUUUAGUGAUGUAUGCUAAUGUUGAUUGGUAUAACUGUUUGUUAUGUUACUUAUUAUUUGCAUAUGAACUUACUAAGCAUUUAUGCUUACUCCCUCCUUCUUACUCAUUGUAGUUUUGGACAAGCCAGCUCAGGAGUCAGGAUAGGUCGAAGGCUCAGUCACACUAUCCGGAAGACUUUUGGUAAAUGGCUUGUAAAUUUAUGUAUGGCAUGUAUAGCAAUAUACCUAUUUUGUGUAAAUGAUCUUAUGGUAUGGUUGUGGAAUGGUUGAGGAAAUGCUUGAUAAUGAUAAAUUAUGAAAAUGGUUAGUGUAGAUUAUGUUUGAUGUUAAGGAAAACUAUUAAGAUACUUAGUGCAUAAAAACUCAUAAAAAGGAUGAAAUUUGCCAUAAACAGAAUACUGCAGCAACACUGACGCGAGUUUGAAAAUUUAUUAAAAAUCAUAGCAAUUGAAUUUGGUGAUGGAAUACAUAUCAAAUUGAAGCUUAUUAUUUCUAGUUUCACAUGAAACAAAUGAAACAGGUAAAGGAAUUAUAUGUUAGAAGAUAUUUGAAUUUUAGUGAAACAGGGUCAUAGCAGUUUUUGAAUCCCCUGUUCUAACUUUAGAAAUUCAUUAUAAAUUAUAAAGAUAUAAUUAGGUGGUAUAUUUUAUAUCCUCAGAAUCCUUAUUGAGUCUAGUUUUAGUAGAAACAAAUCUCAUAGUCAUAUGAAUUUUGUACAGAGAGAAAUGUUGUUCGUAGUAAACAGAGGUCAGACCAGUCGAGUCCUGAAACAGGGGUAACUUUAACUAAUAAACUGUACUAAUUGGCCCAACCAAAAAUUCUAGAAAAAAUUUAGUAGAUAGGUAUAUGAGUCUAGAUUUAGGGAAAAUUUACGGAUCUUGAUUUCGAGUUUCGUAACUCAAGAUAUGAUUUUUCUUGUGACUAUGAGGCAAGUAGCUUAAAAGCUGUGAAUGUAGAAACAAUAAUCCAAAGUUCUAAAAAUGUUAAACUAAGCUUAGUAACACCUCAUACUCGACUCCGGCGAUGGUCUCGGGCGUGGGGGCAUUACAUUUAGUGGUAUCAGAGCAGGUUUAGUCAGUUCUCGAACUACGUGUUGUAUGUACGGAUUUUGCUAUACAUGCCAUAUGUAUGAAUUGUGAUAGUGUGACGACUUCUGACAUUUUUAAAAGAUUUUUAUAUAGUAAAUGGAUCCCGAUCCAGCUGUGACAGAUGAAGUAGAGAGUAAUGCGCCAGCUCCGGCUGAAGGAGCAACGCCGACUGAAAAUCCACCUCCUACUGUUGGUCAGGGAGGAGGAGAAAGGGGUCGGGAAGCCUUUCUCCAAAUGAUGAGUGCAUGGUACACUGAGUUCGUUCGUACGAACCCAAAUGUACGACCUCCCCCAAUUCCUCAACCUGUACCCCCGAUGCCUCAAGGUAUGAAUAUGAUAAAAUUUCACAGAACCCCUGUUGACAGAAUUCGUAAACAAGGGGCUGAAGAAUUUAGAGCAAAUAUUGAUGAUGAUGCAGAGAAAGCAAAGUUCUGGCUUGAAAAGUCUAUCCGGGUAUUUGAUGAAUUAUCUUGUACACCUGAAGAAUGUUUGAAAUAUGCUACAUCUUUGUUGAGAGAUUCAGCCUAUAAUUGGUGGAAGACUUUGAUUUCAGUGGUGCCGAAAGAGAGGGUAACCUGGGAAUUCUUUCAAGAAGAGUUUCAGAAGAAAUAUAUUAGUGAAAGGUUUAUUGAUCAGAAAUGUAAAGAGUUUCUUGAGCUGAAGCAAGGUAAUAUGACAGUCUCAGAAUAUGAAAGAGAGUUUGUUCGAUUAAGUAUGCUAGGGAAUAUGUUCCUACAGAAGCCAAGAUGUGCCGACGAUUUGAAGACGGGCUUAACGAAGACAUUAAAGUAUUUGUCGGGAUCCUUGAACUAAAAGAAAUGGUAGUACUGGUCGAUCGAGCUUGCAAGACUGAAGAACUACUUAAAGAAAAGAAAAAGGUAGAGGCUGAGACUAGAAAUUAGAAGAAAAGACCGAUGAGCGGUUCAUUUUCACAGCAACCUAGAAAGUCAAGGAAUAUGAAUCCUCGUUCCCAAGCUUCAGUUGGGCAAUCAUAUGGGAAUUAUAGGAAGCAAAAUGUGGGUCCUAAAUCCCAGACUACUUCGACAGCCAGUGUAGGGAACUCGAGAUUUGUUAAACCUGAGUGCCAGCGGUGUGGUAGAAAUCAUUUUGGUCCGUGUAGAGCAAAUGAAUGUUUUCGAUGUGGUUCUCCGGAUCAUUUUAUUAGAGACUGCCCAGAGAGAGCUGAAAAAGAAAAAUUUCAGAAUACAAAAGCUAGUGGUGCAGACUCGAGAGGAAGAUAUUCGGGAAAAGCUGGAAAUGAAGCAAGCAGCAAGAAUGUAGCCAGAGAUUCAGCAGCUAAAUCUGAAGUAAGGGCUCUAGCUAGAACUUAUGCCAUAAAGGCACGUGAAGAUGCUUCCUCACCUGAUGUGAUUACCGGUACAUUCUCUCUAUAAUGUUAAUGUUAUUACUUUGAUUGAUCCCGGUUCUACUCAUUCAUAUGUAUGCAUGAAACUGGUGUCUAGUAUGAAUAUACCUGUUGAGAACACAGAAUUUAUGAUUAAAGUGUCGAACCCGUUAGGCAAAUGCGUGAUAGUUGAUAAAGUAAACAAGAAAUGUCCUUUAAUGAUUCGAGAUCAUUACUUUCCGGCCGACUUGAUGUUGUUGCCGUUUGAUGAGUUUGAUAUUAUUUUGGGUAUAGAUUGGUUGACAUUGCAUGAUGCUAAAAUAAAUUGCAAAGAAAAGAUUAUAGAAUUAAAAUGUGGAAAUGGUGAAACUCUACGGGUUGAAUCAGAUAAAUCAGAGGCAUUAUCUAGUAUGAUUUCUUCGAUGUCGGCUCAGAGAUAUUUGAGAAAGGGUUAUGAAGCUUAUUUGGCGUAUGUAAUUAAUACAAAAGAAGUUGAAAAGAAAGUUGAAUCAGUGCCGGUUGUGUGUGAAUUUGCGGACGUAUUUCCAGAAGAAUUGCCGGGUUUGCCUCCGGUCAGGGAAGUAGAAUUUGGUAUUGAUUUGAUACCGGGAACAGCUCCGAUUUCGAUUGCUCCGUAUAGAAUGGCACCAGCAGAGUUGAAGGAAUUAAAGUCGCAGUUGCAAGAGUUGACUGAUAAAGGUUUUGUGAGACCGAGUUUUUCACCUUGGGGUGCUCCCGUGUUAUUUGUGAAAAAGAAGGAUGGUUCUAUGAGGUUGUGUGUUGAUUAUCGGCAGUUAAACAAGGUGACAAUCAAAAACAAGUAUCCGUUGCCAAGAAUUGGUGAUUUGUUUGAUCAGCUAAAAGGAGCGACAUGAUUUUCAAAGAUUGACUUGAGAUCUGGGUAUUACCAACUGCGGGUAAAAGAGUCGGAUGUGCCUAAAACUACUUUUAGAACAAGGUAUGGUCAUUAUGAAUUUUUAGUUAUGCCAUUCGGAUUGACAAAUGCUCCUGUUGUGUUUAUGGAUUUAAUGAAUCGCAUAUUUCGGCCAUACUUGGACAGAUUUGUUGUGGUGUUUAUAGAUUAUAUUUUAAUUUAUUCAAAAGAUAAGACAGAGCAUGCUGAGCAUUUGAGGAUAGUUUUGCAAACUUUGAGAGAUAAGCAGCUGUAUGCUAAGUUUAGUAAAAGUGAAUUUUGGCUCCGGGAAGUUGGAUUUUUGGGUCAUAUUGUUUCAGGUGAUGGUAUACGGGUUGAUCCUAGUAAAAUUUCAGCCAUUGUUGAUUGGAAACCACCGAAAAAUGUAACUGAAGUUAGAAGUUUCUUGGGGCUAGCUGGGUAUUAUCGGCGGUUUGUAAAUGGAUUUUCUAUAAUUGCUGCUCCUAUAACUAGAUUACUCCGAAAGGAUGUUAAAUUUGAAUGGACGGAAGAAUGUCAACACAGUUUUGAAGAAUUGAAAAAGUUAUUAACAGAGGCACCAGUGUUAGUACAACCCGAAUUAGGUAAAGAAUUUGUGGUGUAUAGUGAUGCUUCUCUAAAUGGUUUGGGGUGUGUGCUCAUGCAGGAAGGAAAAGUGGUGGCAUAUGCUUCGAGGCAGUUAAAACCUCAUGAGAGGAAUUAUCCUACUCACGAUUUGGAAUUGGCUGCGGUGGUGUUUACUUUGAAAAUUUGGCGACAUUGUUUGUAUGGUGAAAAAUGUCGGGUAUAUACCGACCACAAAAGUCUUAAGUACUUGAUGUCACAAAAAGACUUGAAUUUGAGACAGCGAAGAUGGUUGGAGUUAUUGAAAGAUUACGAGCUUGUUAUCGAUUAUCAUCCGGGAAAAGCGAAUGUGGUUGCUGAUGCUUUGAGCAGAAAGUUGUUGUUUGCUUUGAGAGUUAUGAACACUCAGUUGAAAGUGUCAAAUGAUGGUUCGAUUCUAGCAGAGUUAAGAGCAAGACCGAUGUUUUUACAAGAGAUUUCUGAAACUCAGAAAAAUGAUCAAGAUUUGCUAGCCAAAAGAAAACAGUGUGAAGCUGAUACGGGAUCAGAUUUUAGAAUUGGUGCUGAUGGGUGCUUAAUGUUUAAAGAUCGGAUUUGUGUACCGAAGAAUGAGGAAUUGAUUCAAAAGAUCCUACAGGAAACACAUAGUGGUUAUUUCUCGAUUCAUCCGGGUAGUACGAAAAUGUAUAAUGACUUGAAGAAAAUGUAUUGGUGGAAUGGAAUGAAAAGAGAUAUAUCAGAGUUUGUGUCCAAAUGCUUAAUUUGUCAACAGGUGAAAGCUGAACACCAAGUACCUUCGGGAUUACUUCAGCCUAUUAUGGUUCCUGAAUGGAAAUGGGAUCGGAUUACUAUGGAUUUUGUUUCAGGAUUGCCAUUGACUCCAGGAAAGAAAGAUGCCAUCUGGGCAAUAGUUGACAGAUUAACUAAGUCGGCUCAUUUUAUCCCGGUACGUACGGAUUAUUCUCUUAACAAGUUGGCUGAACUGUAUAUUAGAGAAAUUGUUAGAUUACACGGAAUACCAUUAUCGAUUAUUUCAGAUAGAGAUCCAAGGUUUACCUCGCGAUUUUGGCAAAAGUUGCAAGACGCGUUAGGUACGAAGUUAAAUUUCAGUACUGCUUUUCAUCCACAAACUGAUGGACAAUCAGAAAGAAUAAUUCAGAUUCUUGAAGAUAUGCUUAGAUGUUGUGUAUUGGAAUUUCAAGGAAGUUGGGAAAGAUACUUACCGUUGGUGGAAUUUGCUUACAAUAAUAGUUAUCAGACGAGCUUGAAAAUGGCACCUUAUGAAGCAUUGUAUGGUCGUAAGUGUCGAACGCCUUUGUAUUGGACUGAACUCAAGGAAAAUCAGAUUUAUGGAGUUGAUCUAAUAAAAGAAACUGAAGAAAAAGUGAAGGUAAUUCGAGAUUGUUUGAAAGCUGCUUCAGAUAUACAGAAAUCUUAUGCAGAUUUAAAACGAAAGGACAUUGAAUUUCAAGUUGGUGAUAAAGUAUUUUUAAAGGUGUCUCCGUGGAAGAAAGUCUUUAGAUUUGGACGAAAGGGCAAAUUAAGUCCGCGUUUUAUUGGGUCGUAUGAAGUAAUUGAAAAAGUUAGACCGGUAGCAUAUCGACUAGCAUUACCACCUGAAUUAGAAAAGAUUCAUGAUGUGUUCCACGUAUCUAUGUUACGUCGGUAUCGUUCGGAUCCUUCACAUGUAGUUUCACCGACAGAAAUUGAACUACAACCAGAUAUGACCUACGAAGAAGAACCGAUUAAGAUUUUAGCUCGAGAGGUCAAACAACUAAGGAAUAAAAAUGUUGCACUUGUGAAGGUGUUGUGGCAAAGGCAUGGAGUAGAAAAAGCUACAUGGGAAUCCGAAGAAACUAUGAGAAAUCAAUACCCACAUCUGUUUACAGGUAAGAUUUUCGAGGACGAAAAUCCUUAAAGGGGGGAGAGUUAUAAUAUCCCGAAUUAGGGCCUAAUCGGAAUAGUGAUUUCGUGACCACAAAUCCGAGAUAGAAAUAAUUAUUUUAUAAUUAUUUUGAGGUUUAUGAUAUGAUUGCAUGAUUGUGUGAAAAUUUCGUAAUGAAAUUCUAUGCCUAAAGUGCUUAAAUUGAAAGUAGGGACUAAAUCAAAUAAGUUGCAAAACUUGCAUUCCAGAAGUUUUUAGUAUAAAAUUGUUUUGGAAUAUUAAUGAGGAGGUCUUAAAUAGCAAUUUGACCAAUUUUAAGUUCAUGUACAAAAUUAGGACAUGGAAGGAAUUUUUGGAAAGUUUAGUAGUAAGGGUAUUUUGGUCAUUUAGUUAUUAAAAUGAAUUAAAAACAAAAUUAAAAGCCAAUUUUUGUCCAUCUUUUUCAUUAGGCCGAAAUUUCAAGGGUUCUACAUAGCUAGGGUUUGUUUCAAGCUUCCAAGCUCCAUAAUCAAGAAAGACGUGGAAUCGACCUCAAUCGAGGAAAAGAAAAGAUUGUGGACUAAAUUACAAAAUCUUUGUAUUUUGGUACCAAGGUAAGUUCAUGUGUAAAUAAUGUAGCAUAAUGGUUAUUUUUAAGUUAUUGAUGUUAAUUAUAUGUUAUGCUAAAUUUUAUUAUGAAAUGUAUGCUUUGUGGUUAAUUUCAAAUAAUAUGUAAAUUAUGUGAACUACUUGUUAAAUAUAAUUGUUACCGAGUAUUGAUUUCGGCAUUCUACGGAAGACGGCAAGGAUAAAUGUUCGAGAAAAAAGCCCGUUUGAACCUUAGGAAUAGAUUAGGAUACAAGUGACAUGUCACUAGGAUGGUUGAGCAUCCGAACUCAUUGAGUUGAGUCCGAGUUCACUUAUGGAUGCGAAUGUCCGAACUCGUUGAGUUGAGUCCGAGUUCGUGAGAUGUAACUAGGCAUCCGAACUCGUUGAGUUGAGUCCGAGUUCACUCAUGGAUGCGAACGCCCGAGCUCGUUGAGUUGAGUCCGAGUUCGCUUAUGGGCGGGUUACAUGAUUGCUUGAUUGAAUAUGUGGCACUUAUAUGCAAAUUAUCCAUGUAUCUGAAUUAUAUUCCGAUGUGUUUAACGGGUAAAGUUCUACUCAAUGGAGGAAUAUUCGAGAUGUAAAAAGAAGUAUUGGUGAGUGAUGUGAAAUGGAUAUUUUGGACAGGUAUGUAUUUAACCCUCGGGUUGAGUAUUGAUACAACCACUAUAAGGUAAUAAGAUGAUGAAAAAUGAUCAGAAAUGUGAUAUGUGUUUUAGUGAUGUAUGCUAAUGUUGAUUGGUAUAACUGUUUGUUAUGUUACUUAUUAUUUGCAUAUGAACUUACUAAGCAUUUAUGCUUACUCCCUCCUUCUUACUCAUUGUAGUUUUGGACAAGCCAGCUCAGGAGUCAGGAUAGGUCGAAGGCUCAGUCACACUAUCCGGAAGACUUUUGGUAAAUGGCUUGUAAAUUUAAGUAUGGCAUGUAUAGCAAUAUACCUAUUUUGUGUAAAUGAUCUUAUGGUAUGGUUGUGGAAUGGUUGAGGAAAUGCUUGAUAAUGAUAAAUUAUGAAAAUGGUUAGUGUAGAUUAUGUUUGAUGUUAAGGAAAACUAUUAAGAUACUUAAUGCAUAAAAACUCAUAAAAAGGAUAAAAUUUGCCAUAAACAGAAUACCGCAGCAACACUAAUGUGAGUUUGAAAAUUUAUUAAAAAUCAUAGCAAUUGAAUUUGGUGAUGGAAUACAUAUCAAAUUGAAGCUUAUUAUGUCUAGUUUCACAUGAGAUAAAUGAAACAGGUAAAGGAAUUAUAUGUUAGAAGAUAUUUGAAUUUUAGUAAAAUAGGGUCAUAGCAGUUUUUGAAUCCCCUGAUCUAACUUUAGAAAUUCAUUAUAAAUUAUAAAGAUAUAAUUAGGUGGUAUAUUUUAUAUCCUCAGAAUCCUUAUUGAGUCUAGUUUUAGUAGAAACAAAUCUCAUAGUCAUAUGAAUUUUUUACAGAGAGAAAUGUUGUUCGUAGUAAACAGAGGUCAGACCAGUCGAGUCCUGAAACAGGGGUAACUUUAACUAAUAAACUGUACUAAUUGGCCCAACCAAAAAUUCUAGAAAAAAUUUAGUAAAUAGGUAUAUGAGUCUAGAUUCAGGGAAAAUUUAUGGAUCUUGAUUUCAAGUUUCGUAACUCAAGAUAUGAUUUUUCUUGUGACUAUGACGCAAGUAGCUUAAAAGCUGUGAAUGUAGAAACAAUAAUCCAAAGUUCUAAAAAUGUUAAACUAAGCUUAGUAACACCUCAUACUCGACUCCGGCGAUGGUCUCGGGCGUGGGGGCGUUACACCACCCUUGAUAUUGCUAUAGGAAUUAAUGCAUAGAGAGAUGGAGAUGGGAUUGGGGAUUCCUCAAGGCUACAGCAGUAAAUUUAAGCCACGGUGUGGGAAAAGGUGAAAUGAGAGAUUUUAGACUAAAUCCAAAGCAUUAAUUUCUAUUAAAUGAAAACAAACAAACAAAUAUAAUUGUUAAAGAAACAUUAAUUUCUCUUAAAUCCGGUAAUAUUCGAACUAUUCCAUUAUUCAGUGCAUUCAAAGUUUCAGAAUAGAGAGAUGAAUACAAUUAGCAGUAGGAAGCAAAUACAGACAAUUACCACAUUUUCAGUCGUCGUAGCUAUAAACUUAGUUACUGAAUUCAUAAAUCAUGCCUGCCAUUUGCAGCCCAAAUACACACACACACACAUAUAUAUAUUUAAAAAAAGCAGCACUUUAUAGUGUUGGUUGCAACCAAAGAAAUUCAAACAUACCAUCAAAACCCUCCAAGAUGCAAGGGUUGCCAGAAUCUUCAGUGGCCUUCAAAAUUUCUGCUCGAGCUGCCAGUAAGCCAUAGUGCAAAUAACUGUACACAAGAAAGCCAUAAGUAUACAACUAAAAUAUAAAGAUUAUACAAAUGACUAAAUAGAGACCUGUUUGAUAAGACUGCUUAAGGAAUCACAAGCCAUUAAGAUUUCUCUUUAUAUUCAAUUUCAAAUCAUUAACAGAAUCUUAUUUUGUUAAAAUGGAGGGUACCUGUGUACAUAGAGGUAAUAUUUUGAUCCCUUGAGAUACAUUUCAUUUACAUAAUUGUCCUGUCCAGCUGGUAAACUUGGAGCUCUUGAAGCAGCAUUCUUGGAGAUGGCAUACGCCAUUUGAACAGAUCCACCACCAAGAUCAACUAUGCCAACUGUGUCUUGAUAUGUCCUUCCCAAAUUCCCUAGUAGGUAAUUUAUUGUCACCUAUAAAAGAAGAUGGAGGUUAAGAAAGUCCAAAUUAGGUCCAUUGGCUCCAUCAGUAGGAAAAAUUACAACGGAUCCUAGCCCUAACAGCACGUAAAUACUUUAUUCUAGUUUCCCUAAGUUACCCCAGAGAAACCCCUCGGAUUUCUCCAAUUGGAUCCGGCACCACCAUGAAAGCAUCUCAAGCAAGACUGAUCAUGUUGACCAGUUAUAAGAUUAAAAUAUCAAGCAGUCCUUGUACUUAGUCAAAAGUACAAUUUAAUCCACUUAGUCAAAAGUACAAUUUAAUCCACUAUAUUACAGAAUUGAGUCCUUCAAUCUUUUCCAUGUUUGACAUUGGAGAAAUAAGUAAAAUUGAUAGCAAUGUUAACGGGAAACCAUCUAAAAGCUAGCAUAGACCCCCGAAAUCUGACAAAAAUAUUGACCUCUAGAUGGAACUGAAGUAGCAACAUUUUUUCAAUUAAGAACAUACAUAUUGUCGGAUUUCAACUCAUGUACAACUCAUGUACUAUGUAAGAUUUGAGAAGAAAAGUCCACAUCAGCAUUUAAAUAAUUUUACAUCAAUAUUGUUAUCAAUUUUACUUGUUUGCGCCUAUAUCAAAUGUUUAAAGAUUAAAUUACUCGGUUCUAUAAUACAAGGAUUAAAUUGCAUUUUAGCUAUAAUAUAGGGACGCCAAGAUACUCUAACCCCAGUUACAGUAUGCAAAGUAAAAGCAAAGUAUAAAAGUACAAGAAAAUUCAGCAUAUCAUACCCACUCAUAAGAACCUUCUUGAGAGCCGUCCAGAAUUUUGACCCCAUUUGCCUCGGAUUUAAGGGUGCUUCUACUUUUCAAAAGUUCCCUAACCUAAAUACAUAUUUAAAUUGCACUAGCUUGAGGAAAUGGUAAAGUAAAUGCUGUGGCCAUAACAAACAUGUAUCCGAAAAUAAAAUUACCGAUUGCAAAUUUUAUCAAAUACCUCGCCUCCUAAUGCCCUCAGACCAGCAGUUGCCUACACAGAUAGCCCCAUUGUUCAGCAAAUUAAAAGGCUUAGAAUGCAUAACGCAUGAACAUAAUACCUACCCCAACUCUCACAACAGUCUUUGAUCGUAAAUCUAGCGGAACAACACUUUUUGCCUUGUCAAGAAGAGAAGUUAAUGAAUUUGCAGCAGCCUGUGGAUCUUUUGCAUAGUAGCUCAAACCUGGUUUAAGCUGCAGCAAAACAACCCACAUAAAACUAACUAAUACUUGGACAAAAACCUCCAUAAAAUUGAAGAAAAUGGUCCACAGCACACAAGUAAAAUGGUACCUUGAAAAGAGAUCAAAGAAUUGAUGUUUUGAACUCUUUUUUUUUUGUUCAAUUCAAGUAAAAUCCUUUUCUAGAGGAUACAAGUUAAAAUCCUACCUUACAAUAUUUGAGUCAAACUAUGUCACAAUUCACAAAUAUCAAAUAAAGGUCACAAUAUUCUCAACCCCUUUCAACUUAUGUUUAGAGGAAAGAAAAACAAAAACAAUAAUCAUACAAAUAAAGAUUACUAGUUGUCAGUUACUUUUGUUAGAAGUAGCUUUCUAGUGUCUAUUCGUCUGGAAUGUUUUUUAUUGAAUAUUUUAUGAAUUAUGUUAAAUAUUACUAUUUAAAUACACUUUUUUACGAAUUAUUUAUUUUUUCAACAAGUUUGACAAUUAAGGUUCCAUUUCCUCGAUACUUUUGCUUCUUAAAAUCUCGCUAUAAAGUAAACCUAAAAAAAGUUACGAUUGAUUAAAAAUGAACAAAAAAAAUUCAAAAUGUAACACUAAAAGUAACAUCAUGCAAUUUGUUAUCUAUCAAUGUUUAUUUAAUAAUACUUCAAAAACAUUGUUUCUCUUGUUAAUCUAGCGUACAGCAGACCAACUAGUUACCAUUAGCAAGUUUUAAAAUUACGAUCAAAGCAGGCGAGUAUCAGACUAACAUUUCAAAGGAAAAUAAUUUAGAAAAAGAAAGAAGGAAAUUGUAAAGAAAAGAAUGAGUUUAUAUAAGGAAAAAUAUGGUUAUUAGAAUCCUAUGAUUGUUGGAAUUGUGACCAUUCGAUGAUUUGUUACCGUUUACUUGAAAACGCGUCUUAUAGGGCGCGUUUUUACUCUGACAUGAAUAGAUAAAUUUCAAAAUUUUCGGCAUAUAUCAACAAAUUAGCCUAAUUAAAUGGGUAAAGAAAUUCUGCAGCUAACAGAAAAAAAAAAGGUCGACAAAUGUACGUACCUCUUACAAAACAAACACAAAAUUUCACCUCUGUUAACUUCCUCCUCACUUCUUAUUGUGUUUGCGUGAAUCGAUAUGACAAUUGAAAGCUCCCACUCUUUCUAAUUUACACAACAAUUCAUGUAAUAUUAUAAAAUCAUUAAAAAAAGUUGAUAAAGAAAACUGAUAACAACGGAAUAAAAAUCCCAGAAAGUGUGAGGACGAAGAAGAGAAAAUUUUGAAAAAAGAAAGGAUAUUUGGGAAGGAAGAAAACCGAGAAGCAAAAUCCCGAGAAACAAACAGAAAACAGUGAGAUUCAAAUAUUAAUUUAUAUAUAAAAUAAACAUAAAAAAUAAAGAAAAUACACUAACUCACCUAUCAGCUCUCCAAUGAAACAAAGAUGAACAAACCAAAGAACGCCAUCGAAAGUUAAUAUUAUAUAACCCCCCCAAAAAAGAGUUUAAAAUCAAUACAAAUACAGAAACCUUUAUUUAUAGUAGCAUUACAUUGAACAACUUCAAACUUCUUUUUCUGUGAUAAAAAAAACGUAUAUAUAAAACAAUAAAUGGAAACACAAUAAAAAGGAAAGCAUUACUAAGAUUUCCGACUUACCUUAAACGGAAAUUCAUUAGCCAUUGUUGAUCUUUAUCCAUUGCUACAUUCGCCAUCACUCGAAGAAAAAAAACACAAAACCCCUAACUUUAGGCUUUUCUUCGUUUCCCGCUCUUUGAAACAAAGAGAUGAAAAGAAGACAGGAAAAAACACUGACUCAGGUACGAAUAGUGGCAAAUUUGAAAACUCUUUCCAUGUUUGAUGCUCUCCCGCAGAGAUAUUUUAGGGUUUGGGUUUUUCAUUUUUUUUAAAUUGAAAAAACAAUUAUAUUUUGUUUGCUAUCCCCGGGUCUAGCCCAUAUUUCAAGAAUAUAAAUACUCUUCUUGGGCUACAAUCCAAUAGUGUCCAACCUAUUUGGGCCUAUAUUCGGUUGCAAUUUAAGUUUGAUCCAAUUAUACAUUAACAUUGAUUUAAUGUGUAAUUGUAUACAUGAAUUUUAAUUUGGUGCAAUUUAAGUUUAAUUCGUUGCCUUCUAUUCAACCAAUUAUGAUAAGUUGUUGAUACGGCAACGUAAAAAAUUGACAUUUGGCAUGCAUUUUUCAUAUCCUAAAACAUAAAAUGAAAAUUACACAAUACAACUAUUAUUAAUUUCUUGAUAAUUUUUUCGUAUUAUUACCGAUUUAACUAAUUAAUUUUGGAAAAAAUGAUUUUAAUGUGAAUUAAAAAUACAUAUUAAUUCCUAACUUGAAUAAAUUUUAGCAAGAGUUUAUUUUUAACUUGAAUUAAAAUUAGUCGGAUUGAAUUAAUUUUCACAAUAACUAAUAUGGAAACACAACAAAUAUGUUCUUAAAUUUAAUUAUGUUAUUCAUUUUAUAGAAGGGAAAAUAUCAAAUUUGCCAAGAAUUAAUUAUUGAAUAACCUAUGUUAUUAAAUAUUGCCAAAUUUUUAAUGUUAAUUAAUUUUUUAUUUACAUUAAGAAUUAAUUUUGACAUGUUUUAUACUGAUAAUUUGAUUUUUUUUUUUUUGUAAACUAUAAGAAGGACAAAAUCCUAACAACUAACAAUUUGAUUUAACUGGUGUUUUUAACCUUGCUUCACCAGGGACCAUGUUUUUAGUGGCAAUGUCAACAUUAAAAAAUGCUAAUACAAUUACAUAUAAAAUUUUAAUAAAUAUAAAUUAAAAAUUUAAAUACAAUUACAUAUAUAGGAUAUUAAAUAUUAAAUUAAAAAUAAUAUAAAUAUAUAUAUUAAAUUGGGUUUAGGUUAAGCCUUUUAUUAAUAUGGGAAUACUUAGAUAAAAUUUUAGGCUCAUAUAUUGAAUGAAGUGAGACUUGAAUAAAAAUAAAAUAUAUUAAUAUCAUGCUUAAAGCACAAUCAUGUUUAAGUUAAACAAUUAUGUUUUUUUAUUAAUAUAUAUUCAAUGACUUUAAAAAUUAGGGGUUUUAGUGUCCGGCAUGAGAAAAAGAAAACAUUUCAAAAAGAAAACGACCCCGUUUAAGUUAAAUUUCCAAUUAAAUUUAUAAAUACUUAACGUAAAUUUACUUAAACCUAAUGAUAUUGUUUUAAUUUUUUUUUGUAAAUAUAUUCAUGUUAUUUUCAUUUGAUAUUUUUUAAUUUUUUAAAUAUAAACAAGUUAAAUAUUUUUAAUUAUUAUUAUUUUUCUAAACUAUAAACCCUUAACUCUUAACCCCAAACCCUUACACCUUAAACUCCAACCCUAACCCCUAAACCCUAAAUUAUAAUCCCUAAACCCAUAAUUCAUCAUAAACCUUCAACUACUAGUUAAGUCCUAAACCUUAAACCCUAAACCAUAUAUCUUAAACCAUAGGUAACUCAAAAAUCUUAAACCCUAAACUAUAUAUCUUAAACCAUAAACCAUAAACUAUAACGAUAAUUAAUUCGAUAUUUUAAAUUCAAUACUAUCUCUUUUACGAUUAUAUAAGAAAAUAUUUAAUAUAUUGUAUAACCAUAAAUUUUAAUAAUUAUUGUUUUAGGGGUUAUAGAUUAGUGUUUAUGAUUUUUUUGGUUUAGGGGUUAUAUGACUUUUAGCGGCGUUUUGCCAAAAGCGCCGUUAAUGCUCUAGUUUUUAGCGGCGUUUUGCCAAAAGCGCAGCUAAUGCUUUGGUUUUUAGCGGCGUUUUGCCAAAAUCGCCGCUAAUGCUCUGGUUUUUAGCGACGUUUUGCCAAAAGCGCCGCUAAUUCUCUAUUUUUCGCGGCGUUUUUUACUAAAACGUUGCUAUUGCUCUGUUUUUAGUGGCGUUUUUGGUAAAACGCCGCUAUUGCUAUGUGUUUUACAAUUUUUACGGCGUUUUUUGAUAAAACGCCGCUAAAGCCCUAUUUUCCUGUAGUGAAGCUAUAAAAUUAUUGGUUCAUUCAAAACAAAGAUUUGGUAAUUCGUCUAUACGAAAACAGCUUUAAGCUAAAUAUUAUUAGGUUAUAAGCAUUACCAAAGGGGCUAAAAAGAAUAUUAUAAGCAGUGGCGUAUUGGGGCCUCCCGACUCAACAUAUAUAAUGGCCACCUUUUUUAGACAGAAUCAAAGGGCCUCAACUAUUGUUUCUUCUUUUAAUAAAUGAUUCAACACGCAAUGUAUAUCGGUUAAAAACAACAUGAAAUAUAUAAUAUUAAUAAAUUAGAAAAAAAAUAUUUGAAAAAAGAUAUUUUAUGUAUUUUUAGUUGAAUCAAAUGAUAUGACGUAACUUGGCAGUUUUGUUAUUUUAAUUUCUUCAACCCAUUUGAAUAUGAUCAGAUGAGAUUAAUUACGUCCACAAGUUAAUUGAGAUAUUAAUUUGAAAAAAAGGUAUGAAUUGAUUGACUCGGAAGUUGUUAGGGAACUAUAAAAUUAAGUUUUUAAUAUUUUUAUUUUUCAAAGAAUCUGAUUUCACAUCAUUUAAAAUUACAGUAUACGAAUGUUUAUUAUCGCCAUUUCAUUUUUAUGAGGCGAUUGUUACUAAAUUAAUUAUAAUUACGACAAAGACAAGCACACCUAUCGAAUAAUAGUAUAACUAUGUUGAGUAGGGAAUAUCGCAUCCACGAGGACUAAAAGUACUAGUAAUUACCGUUUUUCUAUUAUUUAGUCGAUAAAUUGAAGUGAUUUUUAAUCUAAAUUUACUAAUCUAAUUUAACUAUGAACGCAACAGAGAAUGAAAUGGAAAAAUAAUUGAAGACAACCAAUGAGAAAUACAAUAUCUAGGAAAGAAUCCCCCUAGGCUUCACCUAUUAUUUUGAAUUUGAGCUAAACGAUUUAUUCACUUGUAUCUUGAUCCGUAGAAAUCCAUAAAUUAUGUUAAUAUCUCUUUCGGGAGUAAAAACAACUGUCUCUAGGUUGAGUAAUUGAAAUCUCUUUCUAAUUAAAACCCCUAUCGUCGCAUUAACAUGAUUUAUAAAUUCCCUUAUUAGAUUUGACUCUAAUCCGGUAGAUUUAUGUCGUCCUAUUUCUAGGAUUGUAUGCAACUCCACUCAAUUAUGUUAGAUCUACUUUUAAAAAGGGACUUUUGCUCCACUGAAAUAAGCACAUUAAACUUGAAUUACUAUCUCAGAUAUAUUAAAACAAGAAAUAAGCAUUCAUAAUUGAGAACAAGAAUCAAGUAUUUAUCGCGUAAAUCAAAAAUCAAAUAAUAAGAUUCAUCAUAGGUUUCAUCUUCCCUAGGUAUCUAGGGAAUUUAGUUCAUAAUCCUGAAUAGAAACAUCUCAAAGUUAGGAUAACAACAAGAUAUAAAGAAACUCAAUAAAACUUCGAAGGAAAUUAAAUGGAGAUCUUUAAUCUUGAAGGAGAUCUGCUUCCGAGUUGAUUCUGAUGGCGUUCUUCGAGUGUUCUCUUCAAUCUUCUCUGAGUGCCCCCUUAAAUCUUCUUUUAAUUUGUUUUAAAGACUUUAGAAUGCUCAGAAUGCCUAAAAAUUGGGUUUUUUUGCAUAUUUGGGAAACAGGGUGCGAUAUUGACACGGGCUGACACAUGGGCGUGUGGUGUUGAUCAUUUUAUGAACCAAUAAACUAAACUACGAUCACGACUAAGGCAAGCGCACCAAUCGAAUGGUAAUAUAGUUGAGGUGAGUCCAGAAUAUCGUAUCCACAAGGACUAAAAGUACUAGUAUUGAUUUUCUUUCUAUUAUUUAGCCUAAAAUAUAAGGGGUUUGUUCUAAUUUAAAAUUAACUAACUAAUUAACUACUGCACGCAAUAGAGAGUGAAGAAAAUAAUCGAAUAAACCAAUAAUAAAGGCAAUACCCAAGGAAGAAUCCACCUAGACUUCACUUAUUAUUCUGACUCUGGAUCAAACGAUUUAUUCACUUGUCUUGAUCCGUAGAAAUCCCUAAUUUAUGUUAAUAUCUCUUUCGAGACUAAGAACAACUGACUCUAGGUUGAUUAAUCGAAAUCUCUUUCUAGUUAAAACCCUAUCGUCACAUUAACUCGUUAUAUGGAUUCCCUUAUUAGAUUUGACUCUAAUUCGACAGAUUUAUGUCGCUCUAUUUGUAGGGUUGCAUGCAACUCCGCUUAAUUAUGUGAGAUCUACUAUUAAACAGGGACUUUUGAUCUACUAAAUAAGCACAUCAAACUUGGAAUAAUAUCCUGAAAAUAUUAAAGCAAGAAUUAAUAACACAUAAUUAAGAACAAGAACAAGUAUUUAUCAUUAAAUUCAAAAUAUUAAAUAAUAAGAUCCAUCUUAGAUUUCAUCUUCCAUAGGUAUCAAAGGAAUUUAGUUCAUAAUAUAAAAGGAAGACAUCUUAAAUUUAGAAAAACAGCAAGACAUAAAAAACCCAAAUAAACUUCAAGAGAAUUUUGAAUGGAGAUCUUCAAUCUUGACGUGGAUCUACUUCUGAGACGAUUUCGAUGGCUUCCUUCGAGUAAUUUCUGCUUUCUGCUCUACGUCCCCCUUUAGGUCUGCUUCUAGUGUGUUUAUAUAGACUUUAGAAUGCUCAGAAACCCUAAAAUUUGGCUUUUUCUGCGUAUUUGGGAAACAAAGAGUUAUAUCAACCACGGGCUACCACAUGGGUGUGUGGCUAGCCCGUGCAUGUGUUCAGCCCUGUGGAAUUAGUCUUGGCUGUGUGGAUCUUUCAAUCAACCUGUUUUGUCCGUUUUUAGCCUGUUUGAUGCUCCUUUUGUUCCUUAUGCUAUCCUAAGUAUAAAACAUGAAAUUAAGGGAUUAAGAGCAUCUAAUUCACUAAAUUAUAUGAUAAACCAUCCAAAAAUAUGCUAAGUAUAGGAUUAAAAUGUGUUGCUUUUAUGGUUUAUCAUGUGGCCAGCCCAUGUGGAAAUGCCCAGGCUGUGUAGAUCUUGGAAACAACUCUAUUGGUCCAAUUUUGGCUCGUUUUUCGCUCUUUUCGCUCUUAAAUGCUCUCCUAAGUAGAGAAACAUGAAUUUAAAGGAUUAAGAGCAUCAAAUUCACUAAUUUACAUCAUUAAGCAUCCAAAAAUGCAUUAAGAAUGAGAUUAAGGGUCUGUUUGUUUAACUAAAAAUGAUUUUCGGAAAAUGAUUUCUGGAAAAUGGCUUACUUUUCUAGAAAAGCUAAUAUUUUCUGGUGUUUGGAUGAAUGUGUAAAAUAUUUUCUAUUGUUUGGCAGAGUUUCUGAAAAUAUUUUAUAAAAACUGUUUUACAUGAAAUAAACAUACAUUUAAGAAUUUAUUAUCUUAUUGUUUGAUUGAGUUUAUUUUAUAUCUAUUAAAUUUAUAUUUUAUGCAAUCAUUUAUUUAUAAAUAAAUACAUCAAAUAAAACAUUAAGAACCAGUGCCAAAGAAAGGGAUUCAAAGAGAAAAAAAUCAAUUACAAAAAGAAAUUCCCUAGUCUAAGAAAAUAGAUUACACAAGAAUAUGUAUACACAAGAAUACAUAGUUUAGACACAUAGUCUAUGCACAAAAGUCCAUAAUUCCAUUUCCAUACUAGUCAUUUACAUCCAACUACUGUGUAUGACUUACAACAAGAGAGGUAAACAGAGAGAUGAAGGAUACAGAUAACUAAAAUAUUUAACACAUACAAUUAUUCUUAUCAUCAAUGGGCACAUUUGGAUGGAAGAUAGAGAGAGCACGAGCAAACUCUUCGAAACCUAGAAUUCCAUUAUGCUUUGUAUCAAGCAAGUCAAAUAUCUACAGUGAAAUCACAAAUAUAUUGACAAAAACUCAAGCAAUAUUAUGCUAAUAAGAAUUGUUCUUUCAAGGAUGGAGACAUUAUUAAUUAACAUUAGAUAAAAAUACCCAAUCAACAAAUAAACUCUCCUAUUUGUUUGUUUCGAAUAACGCCAAUUGGAACUCCUCAUGUUAAAUAGUAAUAUAAAUAGAACUUAAAUACUAUAAAGAUGAAAAGGAAAGAACCAACUCAAGAAAAGGAGUAAUCAUCAAGCCAAAAAACUUGACAGACGUAACAAAAGAUAUCAAUUGUAUAACAAAAUGGGAACUAUGAAAAAAAAAGACCUUGUUGAUCAACCCAUCAUCUAUAACAACAUUGCUUAUAUUCUUGAAAAGCUCAUAAAGUGCUUCUAUUUCACUUACACUAACUGCAUGAAAAUGAGAAAAAAACAAAUUUCAGUAGAAUGACACAAGAACUAAAAUAACACAAGCAAACAUUGAACAAAUGAUAAAUCAAGCAAAAGCAUUUAAUUUAUCACAUAAGCAAUAUAGAAAAAUAUUUAAAAAGAAGAGAAAAAAAAUGAAAACAUACAAACGGUCUCUCUUGCAAGAAGUUUAGGAUCAACAAGACCUCUUAAUUGCUUGUACAAGUUAUUAUCACAUUAUUGCAGCACUGAAGCAAAUAAAUGCUUCAAUCUGUCUAUGCACUACAACAUGAUAUUCUUUUCACAUCAAUACACUCCAUACCUAGGCAACAAAAAAAGAGACCAAAAAUCCCAUUCAUGUCAUUCUUUCCAUACACUGAAUCAUUCUAAAAGCAAACAACAGAACUAACCUUUUAACCAUUUCCUGAUUAUGCAAAAGUGGUAACUUUGAGGUACAUAAGUGCUUUCAUAGAAAGCCCAGAUGUGUGGAUAAAGUGAAGUUUUGUGUUUCAGAACAAAUGUCACUUAGACCAAAAUCAUAAGUCCUUGUAGGUUCAAACUCAUGAGUCAUGACCACCCUUUGCCCCAUGAAGCAGAAAAUACUUGUGUACACUAAAAUGUUGUGUUUAUACAACAUUGUAAGGGGACAUUGGAUUUAAGUGAAAUUCUAAGACCUUAACUUUAAGUGAAGACUGAACACUCACUUAGAGUUAUAUCCACUUCUAGGCUGCAAGAUGUAACACCCCUUACCCGUAUUCCUUACCGGAACAGAGUAUGAGGUAUUACUAAAUUUUAAAAAUUUUCGACAGCAUUCCUACUUAUUUUUGCUUAAACCUCCUGCAAAUUUAGAACACAUUCCAAUAUACCAACCAAUUUCAUUUGUAUAAACACACAUAUAGUUUAACUAUUAAUAAACACUACAUUUAAAAGGGAACCAUAACAUAUAUUUACAUGAUGAUCCCACAUUACAUAAAGUGUCUAUACAUGCCAUAAAAUUUCGGAACACUAGUAGUAAAAUACCCCAAAUGUGAAGGAUAGUGUAGAUGAUUGUCUGACUUCGUUCCAAUUUCCGAGUUGUUGGAAGUCACUAUAACCAAGAGAAAAAUAAAAUCGAGUAAGCAUAUAGCUUAGUAAGUAAACACAUGAUAAAUAAGUAAUUACUCCCAUAACUACACCAAAAUAUAAACUUAUUCAUGAAUAACUUUAUUGUUUAGGCAAUUUCCAGCAAGCUGUUUUUCUGCGUCAUAGUCGCUAAUUUAUUUUUAACUGGAGCUACAGGGAUCCAAAUUGAGUUCCGUAAAUUUUCCCUGAAACUAGACUCAUAUACCAUUUCACCAUAAAAAUUUCAGAAUUUUUAACCCAGAAAAUUAUUACAGUUUAUUCAUUAAACCUUCCCCUUUUUCACUGCCCAACGGUUCUGACCCUUCCUCACUAAAAUUUACUUAACUCUCUGUACAAAAUUUGAAAAAUGGUUUUUCUUGUUUCUAAUAAAAAUAGACUCAAUAAGGAUUCCAGGGAUAUAAAUUUCAUGCCAUAAUUAUUUUUUUACAAUUUUUGGUAAUUUUCCAAAGUUAGAACAGGGGAUCUCGAAAUCAAUCCAGUCCUGUUUCAGUAAAAUUCAGAUAUCUCCAAAAAUACAACUCCUUUGCUUAUUCUAUUUCUUUCAUAUGAGAAUAGAUACAUUCAACUUCAAUUUCAUAUAUUAUUCAGCUUCCCAUUCAUUUCCACCAUUUAUGGUGAUUUUUUCAAAGUUACCCAAUUACUGUUGUUCAACACAGUUUAUAAUUAAAUCGUUCCUUUUGCGUUUUUUAUAUUUUCUCCCAUCUCAUACAUGGGUCGAUUUAGUAUUCAACUCAAUAUUUACCCCAUAAAAUUUUCCACCAUAUGGCAAUAUUCAUCUUCCACACUUUUUUUUUUGUUGAACACUCGGAAUGUUAGCCGUUAUUGGUGGAUCCCGCACUUAGCACCACCACUGAAUCGGGGAAUCAGCACAUAGCAACCCCUCGGGGGAAUCAGCACAUAGCAACCCCCUUUUUAUUUCAAAGAUAUGGUGGAUAUCGCACUUAGCACCACCAAUGAAUCGGGGAAUCAGCACUUAGCAACCCCUCGGGGGAAUCAGCACAUAGCAACCCCCCUUUUCAUUUCAAAGAUAUGGUGGAUAUCGCACUUAGCACCACCAAUGAAAUCGGGGAAUCAGCACUUAGCAACCCCUCGGGGAAUCAGCACAUAGCAACCCCCUUUCACAUUUCAAAGAUAUGGUGGAUCACGCACAUAGCACCACCCAUAAAUCGGGGAAUCAGCACACAGCAACCCCUUUUAUAUACAACAUACUACGGCUUAUUCCGAGUGUUCAACCCAUAACCCAUAUAUUGCAACCCUUUAUCACCUUUCCCCAUUUAACAACAUUUUUAGGAUAUUGCCAAACAUUUAUUUUAAUUCCAAAUAAAUCUCAACAUAUAUCAAAUAAUAUCAAAAUAAUACAUUAAGUCACGUGUUUACUUACCUCGGUGCAAAAUAUCGUAAUUUUGCACUUUACUCCCCUAUCUUUUCUUUUCCCCGUUUGAUAUACUCUUCACGUCUUUCUUGAUCUAUAAUAGCAAAUUUAACUCGUUUAAUAUUCACAUUUAUUAAAAUAAUCCACCACCCAACUUUUUGAAAAUUACAAUUUUGCCCCCAAACUUUUGCAUAAUUACACUUUUGUCCCCAAGCUCGGAAAUUAAACUUCAUCACUUAUUCUUAAGUUUUAUAACAUGCUGAACAUUUUUCCCUUCUAUGGAAACAUCAAAUUCCCACUCCAACACAUACUUUUGAAUAUUAAUUAUUUUUACCGAUUAUGUCUAUUUACCCGUUUUCGCUUAAAAUUGCUUAGCAAAAGUUGUUUAACAUAAUCUCUAGCUUCAUAUUCCACCAUAAAACAGCAAAAUAAACACAUUUCACCUAUGGAUAUUUUUCCAAAUAUGAACCCUAACAUGAAUUAAUGGUAGAAUAAGCUAAACCAAGUUACCGGGACUCCAAAAAUACGAAGAACAUUAAAAACGGGGCUUAGAAUCACUUACUAUGGAGCUUGAAAGCUUUAAAACCCUAAAUAUGGCUUCCCCCUUGCUGAUUUCGUUCACCAUGAAGAAGAUGAGCAUAUUUUGUCAUCUUUUUCCCAUUUAAUUCUAUUUAAUAACCAAAUGACUAAAAUGCCCCCAUUUAAAAAAAAUCUAUUUCACCCAUUUCUUAUGUCUAUUUUUGUCCAUCAACUAACUAAUGGUCUAAUUACCACAUAAAGACCUCCAAUUUAAAAUUUCAUAACAAUUAGACACCUCUAAGAUGUAGAACUCAACUUUUGCACUAUUUACAAUUUAGUCCUUUUGACUAAAUUGAGUGCCCAAACGUCGAAAUUUUCGAACGAAAUUUUUACGAAAAUUUUCCGUGAAAUUGUAGAUCAUAAAAAUAUAAUAAUAACCAUAUUUUCCCUCGUCGGAUUUGUGGUCCCGAAACCACUAUUCCGACUAGGCCCAGAAUCGGGCUGUUACACAAGACCUCUGGUGCCAUCCUGAAAAGAAAGGAUAAAUAGGAAUAUCAGACUGUGGAAAUUCAAAGAAAAAAUAAUUCUAUCAAUGGCAUCAGAGUACAUAAGAAGAUGAAGAAAAGGGUAAUAGUUGGACAGAUUUGACAAAAAUAGCUCACCAGUAAGGAGUUCCAAUGAAGGUAUUUCUAGAACGUUGCCUAUUUCCUGCAUCAAACAUGCAAGUUGAAACACCAAAGUCAGUAAGCUUUACUGUGCCAUUGUUAUCAAGCAAUAUGUGUCCAGCCUGUAAUGCUAAUUAAAAAAAACUUAUUAAAUAAAAUAAUGGUGAAUUCAAUCAGAUAACAUAAUGCCAACUUUUGUGAGGCACUGAUCUUAACAUCGCUAUGAAUAUGUUCUUGUCGAUGAAGAUAAUCCAGAACUUUAAAUGUUUCUUUCAGAACAAAACCAAUAGUAGGCUCUUCGAAACCAUCUGGAUAUGCUGACUUCAUGAGGUACAAACAUGAACCCUCUAACAUGAAAGGCAAGACUUUCCAAAGAUUAUGGUUAACCACAAAAGAACAAUAUGCCCGAAUAACAUUUGAGUGAUCAAUCAAACUCAUUGUUUGAGCUUCCCAACAGAUAUCAUCCUGCAAAAUAGCAUUAAGAAAGCAUGUUAAAAGCCAAUAGAUCACAUGAAGAGCAGAAAAUAUGGAUCUAAAUAUACCACUCAUGAUACUACCAAUUAUUAAAACCUCUAAACAAUAUCACAAAAGAUCCCAUUAGCCAAAAAUAAUUUUUGGUACACCUACUUGAGUGAUUGUAUUACCACCAAAAGUAGAAAAUUCCUAUAGAAUGAUCAAUAGUAAUGAAACAAGCAAGCAUACAAGAUGUUUAGUACACAUGAACUAGAUCUAAGGCCUGGCCUGGAUUGAGAGGAAACUAGGGAAAGGAAAAGGAAGGUUUCUAGUAUAAUAUUGUGUCCCUUAUUUAGAGAACAUUUUAACAUGAUAAAAUCUCACCACAAGCAAGUCUGAACUAAAAGAAACGAGCUUCAAUAAUAAAAAGUAAGAAUAUCAGAAUUUUAUUCAACUCGACCAAAAGCAAUCACUGAAAUCCACAAUCAAAUCAAAUUCCCACCGGCAGAUGCAUCGAUCAAUUGCCUAGUUGAGGGGUUCAAACCGUUGUAGAAAGUUUGAACCUAUAGCCAUAAAGGUAACCCAUGGUGAGAACACCUUUUCAAUAAAUCUUUAUACCUCUCCCAUGUAUCAUAUAGAGUAUUUAGAUCCAUUUGCACGAAGGAAGAGAUAUCAUUCCUCAGCUUGACUGUCUUAGCCAAUGAAAAGUACUUCAACAAGAAUUUUUCAGUCAUUUGUUCCCAUGUAGUGAUAGAACCUCGUGGUAGGGAGUUCAACCACUGUUUAGCCUUACUCUUCAACGAAAAGGGAAACAACCGAAGGCGAAUGGAAUCAUCAGAAACACCAUUAAUUUUAAAAGUGUUGCAGAAUUUCAAAAAAUUAGCCAAAUGAGUAUUUGGGUCUUCGUCCUGCAAACCAUCAAACUGAACAAACUGUUGAAUCAUUUGAAUAGUGUUAGGUUUCAGUUUAAAAUUAUUUGCAGCAACAGCAGGUCUAGCAAUACUCGAUUCAGCCCCAGUUAAAUUAGGCUUGGUAUAAUUAUACAUAGUACGAGGAGCAGGCUUCGAAUUUACAGGAUUUACAGCAACCACAUGAGGUAGCUGAAUAUUAUGAUUUUCUGCCAUCUCCUCAGUAUUAAUAACAACGUCCUCUUGCUUUUCUAUUGUACUCUGUCGACUCUGCCUUACUUCUCUACAGUUUCUGCGAGUUGUACUUUCGAUCUCAAUCUCGAAUACUAGAGGUCCUGACGGGUUUCUUCUAGUUAUAAACUAAAGGAACCUGCCAGAAGCAAAUAAAAGAAAAGUUAGUAAAUUAAAGUAAAAAUAAAAAACGGCUAAAGUAAUAAAAAUUAAGUGUUCCUAAUAUUUUAGUUCCUGGUAACGGUGCUAAAAACUUGAUGACGUCACGAACUAACUAAAAUGCGACAAAGGCAAGCACACCUAUCGAAUGGUAGUAUAAGUACGGUGAGCCGGGAAUAUCGUAUCCACGAGGACUAAAAGUACUAGUAAUCACUAUCUUUUUAUUAUCUAACCUAUAAAUUGAAGGGUUGUUUUUAAUCUAAAAUUAAACUAAACUAACUACUAAGCAACAGGGAGCGAAUUGGGAAAAUAAUCGAAGAAAACUUAUGAGAGAGACAAUACCCAGGAAAGAAUCCACCUAGACUUCACUUAUUAUUCUAAAUAUGAAUUAAACGAUUUAUUCAUUUGACUUGAUCCGUAGAAAUCCCUAAAUUAUAUUAAUAUCUCUUUCGAGAAUAAAAAUAACUGACUCUAGGUUGAUUAAUUAAUAUCUCUUUCUAAUUAAAGCCCCUAUCACCGCAUUAACUCGAUCUAUGGAUUCCCCUAUUAGAUUUGACUCUAAUCCGGUAGAUUUAUGUCGUCCUAUUUCUAGGAUUGCAUGCAACUUCACUCAAUUAUGCUAGAUCUACUCUUAAACAGGGACUUUUCCUCCACUGAAUAAGCACAUCAAUUAUGAAUUAAUAUCCUAAAAACAUUAAACAUGAAGGUAAGUAAACAUAAUUGAGAUCAAGAACAAAUAUUUAUCAUGUAAUUCAGAAAAAUCAAAUAAUAAGAUCUGUCAUAGGGUUCAUCUUCCCUAGGUAUUUAGGGAAUUUAGUUCAUACUUGGAAAGGAAAACAUCUCAAAAAUAGGAAAACAACAAAACAUAAAGAAACCCAAAAACUUCUAAAGAAAUUGAAUGGAGAUAUUCAGUCUUGAAGGAGAUCUUGCUUUUGAGUUGAGUUUGUCGGCCUUCUUCGAGUAAUUUCUGCGUUCUACUCUGCGUGUCCCCUUUAGAUCCUCUUCUAAUGUGUAUUUAUAGACUUUAGAUUGCCUUUUUCUCCGUAACAGGGAAGCCGAGUGCAAAAUCGACACAGACUGGCACAUGGGCAUGUGGCCAGCCCGUGUGGAAAUGCCCAGGCCAUGUGAAUCUUGAAAACAACUCUUUUUGCCUGAUUUUGGCUUGUUUUUCGCUCCUUUCACUCCCCUAUGCUCACCUAAGUAUAGAAACAUGAAUUUAAAAGAUUAGGAGCAUCAAAUUCACUAAUUCAUAUAAUAAAUCAUCCAAAAACGCAUCAAUAAUGGGAUUAAAAACAUGUUACUUUUAUGGCUUAUCUGAAUGCCUGCUGAAUUGCUUCCUUGUAGUUUUAGUACAUUGUAUUUUUCCUGCAUCCCCAAUAGCUAGUAGUUCAAUUUUUUUAGCUGUUUGAAAAUUUUAUCAUAAUGUAAUAGAAAGGUCCUGAAACGAGAUGAUUGUGAAUUUUCAUUCCAUUGGCGUUGUGGGUGGCAUUGUUGUUAUUGAAUGCAUUACAGGGCCCUUGGUAACCUCUCUGAUGCCAUUUUUCAUUAUAAUGUCUUCUGGUUUUAGAGGGUUGCAUUUCAUUGUCUUCUUAGUGUUAAAUACUUUGCAUCACAACUGUAGGUAGAAGCACAUUCGGAUUGAAAGAAAAAGACCCAAAUUCAGGAGAUGGUAAAAGACAAGGUUGAGGGAGAAAGAAGAUGAAGAGAAAAGAAAGAAGAACAAGAAAAAAAAGAAAGAGGUUGAAGGAGAAGAAGAUAAAGAGAAAGAUGAGAAGAAAAAGAAGAAAGACACAGAGAAAGGCCAAUUGUCUUUUCUUUUCUUUUUGACUCUUUGACUACUCAUUUAACGUGACAAGUUAAUUGGCCUAAUUAGCUAAUUAAUUGGCUACUUCAGCUAUCCCGUUAAGCCUAUGACGGAAAAUGUUAAUGAGUUAUUAAUUUGUCACUUUUUAAUAAAGUUAGUGACUGUUUUGUUAUUUUUUUAAAGUUGAAUGAAUGAAAUAAAACUCAAGUGAUUGUUUUGUCAGCUACCCAAAAUUGAGUGACUGUUAAUAAAAUUUACCCUAAAAAACUAUAAUAUUUUAUUAAUAUUAUAAGUAAAGUAUGGUCUUUUUCUACAUCCGAUUUUAUUUUAACAACAUCAUAUUAAUUAUUUUUAUCUAUAUCUAUUGAAAUGCAAUAACUUGAUGACAAGUUAUUAUCCAAUUAUUUUAUAUUAUAUUCCAAGUUUUCAAACAAUGUGAGCAAUGCUAGCUUCCAUCAAUAAAAUAAAAGCCAUGCAUACCUAUUCACUACCAUGUGAUAUGCAGCAGCCAAUAUUGACAUUUGUACUCAACAAAGGUUCAUUUCGUCAACAGCCAAAAUAUCACUGCCACAACACACCUUCUAGAUAGGAUUAAACAAAUUUUCCCAAUUGUAACUUACCCAAGGCAUAAAUAUAAAAUCCUACUUAGAUUACUUUCUUUUAAAUUGAUUUUUUACUUAGAUUACUUUCUUUUAAAUUGAUUUUUUUUGUCAUACUUAAACUAUAUUUCUUACUUAAAUUAUACUCCAUUAAUUAAAUUAUUUCAGUCAUUAUAUAAUAAAAAAAUUGUAACGUGAAACACAUUUUAACUAAAAUAUUCAAAAAGAAAAUUUAAGUAUUAUUUUUUAAAAAAAAUUAUAAACAUAUUCAUCUCUUCAAUUUUUCACUCAAAAUCUUCAAUAUCAAAAAUUCAAGAACUCAUUGAAACUCAUCUAAAUUCAACUUUCGAUGAUAAAACCCAUAUUUUGACGAGCUUCUUUUCUAUUUAAGUUUUUAAAUCUCUAUUUUGAUUCUUUUCUCAUAUAGAUUUAAAAUCUAUGGGAAGCGUAAAAAUAUAUAGAAUUUUUCAGCACAUUUUGAGCUCUAAUUCAUGUAGUUUUGUAGUAAAUUUUGUCGAAAUUCACACUUUAAUUAUAGAAUAAAUAAUUUGUACUUAAAUUAUUAACAUAUUGAAUUUUAAUUAUUUUUAUAAUAAAUUUUCACAAAUUUAGUUUAUUUUCGACAAUUUUGCACAAAAGGUAAAAACUGGCUCGGCAGACACCUCGAAAGGCUUGAAACGUUGGGGAAUUUUUGCAUCAAGUGAACCAAGAGCAAGACUGAAUAUUUUUUCAGCCAAGGACGGUCCAAAUGAUGAUUAUUUUAUGUACUUUGUAUUUAAUUUUUAUCUAACUUAAAUUGGGUUAAAAAUUAAAUAAAGCCUGAAGGAGAAAGUGACCCAAUGUGCUAAGCAUUGAAGACUGAUCCAACAAGAAAAUUGGCAGCCCAAAACCAUCCCAAUCAGCUUAUUUAGCUGAUUUAAUUACUUGCAUAACAACCCUCAAAGUUUCCUUAAACUCCAUUCAAACCCCUCCACUUUUUGUGCCUUUGAAGAUUUGCCCCAAGCUACAUUUAGCAAAGUUUGAAACAUUCAAACUUGCUUGUUGUAUGGCCAGCCAAGGAAGAGUGUAUGACUCCUAAUUAUUUGUUAUUUUUAGCAGCUUCAGACCUAUAAAUACUCAUCUUUGCUACUUCAUUCAACACACCUCCCAUCCCACACAUCUCUCUCUCUUUCACUCACUUUCUCUUCUUGUUUUCCAUUUUUUUCCUUUCUACUUUCCUUUGCCGAUUUUUCUUUUGGAAAAGAGCCUUUCAACCACCUUGGGUAGCAACAUUCAAGUGCUUAUAGAAGUCUUGGAACAACAAGAACGAGCAGAGAAGGAGAGGAGCAAACUAGUCUGGCUUCGGAGAAACACUAGAUUUUAUUCUAGUUUCCUAUCCUUUAACUUUUCUUGUUGUUGUUAUGAACAUGUCUAUAAGUAUUUGUUAUGUUGUUUUUCUAAAUUUAAUUAACAUGGCUUAAAUUUAAUUCGUGUAAUGUUGAUUGCAUUUCAUCUACUUAAGUUAUUAAAAUCAUGUUUGUGUUGUUAUAGGUCUUGAUAAAUUGUUUGAUUAAGUAAAACCAUGAUUAUGUUAUAUACUUGCAUUACAAUUGUAAGGUAACUAAUGAAUUAAUUAUUAAUCGUAUUUAAAUUGUAAUUAAUUGACACAAUACUUAAUCAGUGCAUGUUUAAUCUUCUAAGGUAGCUGAGGGUUAAAUUAGCGACGGUAUUAAACGGUAUAUUAGCCUUGUAUAACUUGCAAGAUUAUUGUGAUUAAACUGUUUCAAUGUAGGAAUAUAUUGUUACUUCACUUAAUCUUUUACUUGCUUAUUUAAAUUGAUUAAUUAUUUGAAUUGGUUUUGUAAUAUAUUCAAGAGAUUAGUUAAUUUAGUAAGUUUGUAUGUGCUAUAGUUAACAAAUUACUAAGUUGCCAUUAAUUUAUUCGUAACAACAUGAACAUUGUCUUGAUAAUAUUAAGUUAAGAAAUGUAAUUGAUCUAACACAAUUAUGUCAUAUUGAUUAAAAUCAUCUUUUGAAAUUAUGCUUUGGAAUUUUUACCUUUUAAUUUUCUUAGUUAAAAUAUAGUUUACUAAACCCUUUUCUUUCAAAACAAAAGAUUUUCCUUCACCAAAGUGUUUUUAUUAAUUGCAUUUCAUAAAUAUUUUCUUACACAGUCCUUGUGUCACUUUAUUACUUAUUGCGAUUGUGUACACUUGAACAUUUUCAUCGUUCCAUCUAUGUAUUAUUUUUGUUAAAAAUAACUUUUUCUAUUCUUUUCUAUAUACUUUGCAUAAAAUAAUUAAGGGUCCAUUUGUUUAGUAGGAAAACAUUUUCUGAAAAAUGUUUUCCUGAUUUUCUAGUGUUUGUUUGCUUGAAAAUAACUUACAUUGGUAAAAAAUUUUCAGAAACACGGGAAAAUGAUGAGGGAUUUUAAGGAAAAUGUCUUACCGAUUUUAUUUCUGUAAGACAUUUUCCAAAAAAUCUUCCUCCACUUUCAUCAUCUUCUUUCUCCUUCUUCCGUUUUCUACUUCUUCCUGUUCUUCAUCUUUUAUUUCCGUUUUUCCUUAGCUGUCUCCAUCGUAUAUCUUCUCUUCUCAGGGCUGCUGUUUCGUUUUACUCUAAUAUUCCUCUUCGCAGGAUCUUGGCUUAAGGUAUGGCAUCUUCUUUAUCUUCAUUUAAAAGCUCUUUUCUUUCUUCUUGUUCUUUACUUGUCCACAUUUUAACCGAUAAUUUUGGAAAUUCCCUAGAAUUUUGAUUUAAAUUUUUAUACUGUUGAAUACCCUUUUGUUCUUUGUGCUGAAUUAGUGGUGGGUUUUAUCUGAAAGUGAAACAGCGUUGGUUAUACAAGUUUCUUUCGGUUCGUAUGCCUAAAAUUUUAUGCCUUUCAUUGUUUCUUUAUUUUAAUUUUUUAGUGAAUUACAUGUUCAAAUUUUGAACAUAUUAUUCUAUAUGUUCUUUCCUACUCCGGAGGGUAACUAUGUCCUCUGACUUUCGAGAAAAUAUAUUUCAUGUAGGAGGAGAAGGAACAAUCCCUAAGGCAGGUUAAACUACCUUAACCUGCUUCCCCCUUCCAAACUGUCUACUCUAUUUGUUCUUUAAGGAUUUCUUUCUGUUAGGAUUUUAACCCGGUUAAGUAACGAACAAGAAAAUAGUAGAAUACAUUGAGAAAUUGAACACACAAAUUUAACGUGGAAAAACCCCUCCAAAGAGGAUAAAAAACCACAGACAAAGAUAAUUUUACUAUAAUGGCAAAAGAACGAAGAGUACAAAAGAUGGAGAUAAAAACUAAACCCCGAAAACAAAGAACCCACAAAACAUAAACACAAAAUUCUCUAAAUGUGUUAUGAGUUCUAAUCUCUAAUGGGUGUAUUUUCUAAGGUUGUAAAAGAGCCUAUUUAUAGGCUAAAUUCAUAGAUUAAAUAAUAAUAAAAUAAUCCAAACUAAUCAGUGUUUGAUUGAAACAAGUAAACAGAGUUUAACUGAAAGAUUAUUUUUCAAAUUUGACUGAAAAUAGGAGUCAUAUUUAACAAAUCUCCACCUUGACUCAUAUUUUCCAUAACGCCAUAUUUGCCAAAGCCCGCCAUGAGCCUAUCUUGAACUAUGCAGGGAAUUAACUGAGUCGAAUUUGUGCUUAGAAACUGGAAGACUUCUAGCCUUCGACUUGUACACUGCCAAAUCAAACUAACCCGGGUCUGAUUUUCACGAACACAGUGCCCUAACUUUUCAAAACCUGCAUCCAAAAGAAAACCUCUCUUCAACGAAACAGUCAUACCUUUUUCCCUCUAUGACCAAGUUGCCUCCGCUUCAAACAAGUUGACUUCAACUCCGUAACGGACGAGGGACGUCCGAUUUCACCGGUCACUGUAUAACUUUCCAGAGUAUAAAGACUGCCGGUUCUUUUAUCUUUUAACAAAACGAGAGCUCCACGAGAUACUUUAAUACCACUCGACUCGAUGUUGAUUUUGCAUCCUUUCAAGUCUAAAAUACUUAAGGAGAUGUGAUUCUUUCAUAAAUCAGGUACAUACCUAACAUCUGAGAGUGUCCUAAUCAUCCCAUCGUGCAUCUUAAUUUUAACAGUACCAAUACCAAUUACCUUACUAGAUGAAUCGUUUCCCAUGCGCACAACUCCACCUUCAAUUGAACUGUAUGUGGAGAACCAUUCUCUAUUGGGACACAUGUGGAAAGAACAUCCUGAAUCUAGGAUCCACUCGGACGUGAGCUUGGUGUUAUCACUUGUUGACACUAACAAGAAAUCAUCUCCAUUUUCACCGGCCAAAUUAUCACCAGCUACAUCUUCCUCGUUACUCUCAGCAGCUUUUUUAUUUCGCAGUUUAUAACAAUCUGCUUUGACGUGACCUAACUUUUUACAAUAGCGACACCUUUUAUCUCGUUUCUUUGAUGCUAUCAAAAUGGAAGCUUGCCUAUCUGUCUUGCUAUCCAAAUGAAGCUCAUUGUCGAGUUUGUUUCUACUCAACAAAUGACCCUUCACAUCUUCGAACAAGAGUUUGUCUCUGCCAUAAAUCAGGGUCUCCCUGAAAGACUUGUAUGAAUGGGGUAAAGAGCACAAUAAUAGCAUAGCCUGAUCUUCAUUGUUAAUAUGAACCUCAACAUUCUUUAAAUCAUUUAAAAGAGUAAUGAAUUGACUGAUGUGAUCUCUAAGAAGCUCACCUUCGUUCAUGCGAAACGUAAAUAGACGUUGUUUCAACACUAAACGGUUAGCCAGAGACUUAGUCGCAUAAAGAGUUUCUGACCUUUUCCACAAGGCAGAUGAGGUCUUCUCCAUCAAUACCUCCUGCAAUACUGUAUUCGUGAGGCACAACUGGAUUGCAGAUAAAGCCUUUUCAUCAAGCUCUUCCCAUUCUGUUUUAUUUAGAUUCUCAGGCUUUUUCCUGAUAACAACCUUUUUCAAGCCUGAUUGAACUAGAAUUGCCAUCAUCCGAACCUGCCACAGAUUGAAAUUUGUCUCACCAUCGAACUUCUCAAUUUCAAACCUUGUUGUUACCAUCUCUGAACGGGCUAAUUUAUGAAAAUUGAACUAGUUCUGAUACCACUUGUUAGGAUUUUAACCCGAUUAAGUAACGAACAAGAAAAUAGCAGAAUAAAUUGAGAAAUUGAACACAUAAAUUUAACGUGGAAAAACCCCUCCAAAGAGGAUAAAAAACCACAGGCAAAGAUAAUUUUACUAUAAUGGUAAAAGAACGAAGAGUACAAAAGAUGGAGAUAAAAACUAAACCCCAAAAACCCGAAAACAAAGGACCUACAAAACGUAAACACAAAAUUCUCUAAAUGUGUUAUGAGUUAUAAUCUAUAAUGGGUGUAUUUUCUAAGGUUGUAAAAGAGCCUAUUUAUAGGCUAAAUUCAUAGAUCAAAUAAUAAUAAAAUAAUCUAAACUAAUCAGUGUUUGAUUGAAACAAGUAAACAGAGUUUAACUGAAAGAUUAUUUUUCAAAUUUGACUGAAAAUAGGAGUCAUAUUUAACACUUUCAACCUGUAAUUACUAUUGCUGCUGUCCUAUGUUUUAUUGGUGAUUUGAAGAUCAUUUAUUUCCCCCACUAACAUGAUUCGGAUCAUCCAGCUAUUGAUUAUUGAUACUGCUUUGUCCAGGAUUAGAGCUGGUCUGUGUCAUUAAAGGAAAGUUUGUUGUUCAGUAUAGCAAAUCUCUUCAAUGAUCCAGGAUUUUCUACUUUCAUGUCUUAUUGCAGUCACUAUCCUUCCUACAAGCUUAGUCUACCUUAUCAAGUUUAGAAUUUCUGAUAGAGUCAUCCUUAUUGAUACCUGAAUGAGCUCUAUUACUUCCAUCACCAGACUCCUCUGUUAAUUCCUUUGCAUUCUUAGAUACAGGGACCCUUUCCUUAGGAAGCAAAAUCUUAGCAGCAUCUGCUAUCUUACUCGUGGAGUUCCUGGAGAUGUGACCAAAUAUUCUUUUCAGCAUCUGCAUCUAAAGUUAUUGUGUUCUCUCUUCUACUAGAUUUUGUAUUUUUCGAUAUGUUCUAAAAUUACAAUUUUUGUAGUAAAAAAUUGUCAUUCCAAUGUGUUUUCUCACAAUUAGUAAAGAUUUUAGUAUUUGACUUUAUAUGGAUGAGCCUCUCUUUUAUUUUUGUGGACUUCAUUUCUGUUUUGGGUUUGAAAAGAUGAUUUGGUUGAGUAUGAGUAAAUAUUAUGGUGUAUUUUUUUCUUAAAUCCAAUUUUUUUGUUUGGCUUUGUUAAUUUAGAGUACAAGGUGCACGCUUUCAAUAGAAAUGGACUUGUUGCCUUGGGAUUUAUGGAUGAACACUAUCCUAUUCGAAGUGCUUUUUCGCUUCUCGACCAGGUAAACGAGCUGCAGCUUUAUUUUUUCUUUGUCUUAAUGAUUUUCUUUAAGCUUCAAUAUCAUCUACUCUUAUUAAUUGCAAUAUUGGUGUUUUGCUUUUAGUUGUAUUGAGAACUAAGUUCAAAUUUACUGGGUUCUUACUGCUUUUUCAUAUGAUCUGUCUUGUUUCAAGAUUAUAUAACUAGUAUCAGUAACAAAAUGAAAAUUUCUUUUAAAUACUAUUAGUUUUUGAUUGAUGUUCACUAGUGACUCACGUAUGUUUAUGCUUGAUACUUGGCUCAUAUGUUGGAUAUGGUUAUUUUUUCUGUGAUGAUGUAAUUCUAUCGAUUCAGGGCAAUGAAAAUGUAAUAUGGUACCACGUUUUGUUUGUAAAUGUGAUUGAUUCUUGUGCUUGUUGUUUUUGUAAAUGAUGCACCAAAUAGCAUUAGUUCCAGAGGUACCAUUUGGAAAACAUAGGCAAAGGGUUUUAGGUUUUAAGGUUCUUCUCUGCCUUUCUGAUUGACGCUACUCGUCUCCAUCUCUGCUUCGAGUUAGGCUCAUUUUGAGGCUUCUCUCGUUUUAAAAAUGGAAAGCCUCCACCCGACCAUGAGGCAUCUGAUUUUCCAUUAUCACCAAUAGCUUUUUUACUAGAUGCGCCAUUAUUGAAAUUAUCAUAUCCAUCAUCCUUGGCUUCGUCCCAACCAGCCCAACCAUCAUUGCUAUGAGAAGUAGUCACCUCUGUAGUACCUUCCUUCCUAUUGAAGAAACUUCUCUGCAUGUAUUAUUCUGAUGUUUUCAUGGUUUAUAAAAUGUUUUCAUGGUUUUUGAACUUAUAAGUACAAGUUAAGAUGCAUGUAUCUGGUUUCAUUUUAAAUACCUUCUUUGGGUAUUAGUUACGUCUUGUGGUGAAUGAAUUAUUUUAUUAACAAAUCCCAUUUACUGUAGUAAGUUCUGAGCAGGGAGAAACAUGAGUGCACUUUUUUAGAAUGGCUUGCAAUUUGCAAAUGAUCAAUAGAUGCUAUAUUUGGUUUUGCCUUAACCGAUGACUAAAUAGUUGUAGGUGGGGACAAAAUAAAUGAAUUCUACAAAACAAAAACGUUUUUAAUUUGAUGACUCCAUUUGUGUAGUAAGGGAAAAAAAGACUAGGCAAGAAGAAUUGGCAAUGACCGUCAUUUAAUCUGCAUAGAGGAUCCAUUUGUGAUAUCUCAUGACCUUGGUCAAAUGGUGGACAAGUUCAGCAUUAAAGUUCUAAGAAAAGAGUUUGAACGAGCGGCUAAUGUAAUGCAACAUGAUCCAAAUCCUUGGAUAACACUCUUUGAACCUUACGUCCUUGGGUAACAAAACCUUGUCCAAGUGUGUUAGAAAAUCAAUGGUUAAAGCUAUUUGGUUGGUUUUUGUAGUCUGUGUGCUUUGCGUCCCCCAUAAUCUUCAAUUUUGACCUUUUUAGUUCACAUCCAUUUUAAAGAAGUUUAAGCUUAUUAUAUGUAAUCAAGAAAAGAAAUUUCCAAACAUUUUAUGGAUGGAUGUUAAACAAGUUGUAAUUAAUUGAUUGAUAGUGUAUACAAAAUUCCUGUAUGAUCCAAACAUAUUCAUAUCAAAUGAGUGUGUUAUAUCGUAUUUGUGUAUUCAAGUGAAACAAACAAAACAGUCUUAUUAUAUACAUCUAAUAAAUCAUUACAAUAUAUGUAAAAACAAUUUAAAAUAUAAAUUUAUUAAUAUAUAUAUUAAACUCAAUUAAAAAAUGAAAAGAUAAUAAAUUUUUAAAUAUAAUUUGUUUAAUUUAAAACAGUUUUUAUGAAAUAUUUUCAGGAAAUCUGCCAAACAAUAGAAAAUAUUUUACACAGAUUCAUCCAAACACCAGAAAAGAAAAUCAUUUCCAGAAAAGAAAAUCAUUUUCCAGAAAUUAUUUUUCGGAAAAUAUUUUACUGGCAAACAAAUGGAGCCUAAUGCUAAGUGAAUCUCUAUAAUAAAAGAAUUUAGAUAAAACAUGAAAUCUAAAUACUGAAAAGAAGCUAAGUAAAAGAAAUAAUCUAACAGUUAAAAAUUGCAUUAAAAUAGAAGAAAGAAAUAGGGAAAGGAAAGAAUGUAUCUUUUUUAAAGGUUUUAAUUCAAUUAAAUUUGAUUUGAUUUAAUUCUUUUAAUUUAAUUUAAUUUUAAUAUACUUCUAGACUUAGACACGUAGCCAACACUCUGAUUUCACUCAGGUGUCUUGAUGAGUAGUUGUCCUAGAUCCCUCAUCCAUCGGUAUCAGUAUGGGAUCUAGCCUACUCGCUCCCCCCUCAAGGGCCUAUACUAACCAUCACCUAUCCACCCAUUCAGUUGGUGUAUCCCAGUAAGUGUCUUUAUGAGACACCUGCUUUUAGGUGUGAACACUCCUAAAGUGAAAACACACUUUUGAUGAUCAUUGGACCCCACUUGAGCGUAACAAUCUCAUAUUAUCAUAACAGAAUGGAGCCACGAUGCACAUCUUGCAUGCCCUACAACUUUUACAUGACAACCUGCCACAUCACACUAAUAGACGAGGACUUCCACUAUAUAUACCCACUCAGAAGAUGAAGAGGGGAUAUUUAGCCUCUUCAGCAAUCUUAGAGCAUCCUUCUUCCCCAGCCUUCUCUUUAAGUUUUAAACUUGUUCUUAUCUAUUUUUUAAUAAUAUUUUAAUUUUUUAAUUUAUAUGAGCCCUGAAUAACUUUUUUUUUUGAAUGCGAUCCAAGAAAAAGGUACUUCUACAUAAAAAAAUUGUAUUCGAAAAAAUGUUUGGAAAAAAAAUGAUAUUGGGCGGCCUUGAAAGCUUUUUCAUUAGCCAAAUCUCUUUCUACAGGGAAUUCAAAAAGGUUUUUUUUUUGUAUGACAAAUAAAUUUUGGAUUAAUUUGAAUUAGUUUAACUUGAAUAAGAUACAAAGGUUUAUAUUGUAGAAUUUUAUAGUUUUUUUAAUUGUUUUCAAUUUUUAUAUAAUAUAUUUUUUAAAAUUUAUGAUUAUAUAUUUUAGAAUUUUUUAUUUUUUUAAAUUUUUACAUUUUUUGAAUUAUUUAUAUUAUAUAUGAUAUUUUUACAUUUUAAAAAAAUAUUUCAUAUACAAUAUUAAAAAAAAGGGUGGUGUGAUAAAUUCUGAUAAAGCCACGUGAACGAUGAACUUGGUCAACAUUCGAUCAAUAGUGGUCAACGAUGGUCAACGUUGAUCAAUGGUAACCAAUAUCAGUUAACGUCUAGUCAAUGUUAUUAUUGUAAAUAACCCUAAAUGUUAGUGGAAAAUUUUGAUUGGUUGAAAGUUGUCACAUGACACAUUUUAAUUGGUGCCAUGUGGUAACCAAUUUUUUUAAUAUUAAUCAUAUAAAUAGUUAUGAAAAUGUGUAAAAUUACUUUAAUUUUUUUGAAUCCCUCUCCUAUAUUAUUAUAUUAUUAAUAGAUGUCAAAAAAUUAAAUAUUAUAUAGAUAUAUAUCAUAUAUUAUUAAAAGCUAUGGUAUUUUGGUAUUUUUAAAUUUUGGUGUGUUUCGAGGUUAAGUAUUUUAUUAUGGUAAUGAUUUGUUCGUUUUGAUUUAUUUAAUUUGAUGGGCAUCGAAAUCACCAAAAAUAAUUCCUACAAAAAUAACUCUAAAUUGUAGUAAAGAGUGGUAUUAGGGUCGAGUCCACAGGGAUUGGAUGUUGUAAUCAACUUCUGUGUUUACUUAUGAACAGAAUGUUCGUUGUGUCAAAAGUCGUGGCAAGAGUCGUGCCUUCGACUCCAAAUGUACCUACAACAAAAAUAAACAAGUAAUCGGAGGGUUUCGAGAAUGUGUAAACAAACAAUUAAAUAAUAUUAUAAAUAAAUUUGGUUCGGGACAUAAAUUCAGAAUUUUGCAAACAGAAAUAAUAAGCCUUAGCCUUAGACUCGGUAAAUUUUGUAUCAAGGAUCGAUCCUCGAAAAUUAAUCUUCCUUUCUAACGAUAAGUUGGUUAUAUCAGUUAAGAACAUCCAAACCACCAAUUCUUCCUCUUGUAGCUGGUCCUGGUACGACUUGCAAACCAACCCUUACCGAUUAUCUAACUGAGAUACAUGAGUUCCCGAUUCAAGAUUCCGGCAGCCUUGCAUUUUGAAGAACCCAACUCAAAUUAACGGCCUCAACCGCGUGGGUGGUUUAAACCCGAUCACUUUUUCCUUGAUUUGUUCUCGGAGAUCCGAAUACAGCAUAGCCGACUCGUUUCUCCAACUUUCAGCAAACAUGACUCCAACCCAACGUGCACUUUAACUUGAAAUCGAGUUUAACUUUAAGGGAUGAUUGGUCUAUCCAGAUACUUAGGAAAAAAAUGAAUACCGAUUGGAAGGGUUUUUAGCACGAAUUUGAAUCUCACGAUUCCCGACCGGAAAGAACACCGGCCUAAGGCUAAGAUGAAAUUUAGUGAAGCAUGAAAUUAUUCAUGCUUUAUAAACUUUGGAAAGUGGUUUGAUGAUUAUGGUAAAGAAAUGAACUGAAAGGACUUGGAAAGAAAUUAGCCCAAUUUUGUAAAAGCAAGAAAAAUGCCAAUUUGAAAGACAAAAGAGAAUAAUUCAAUUCCCAAUUGAAGUAGGAAUGUAGAAUUAAGUGAUGAUUUUCCUAAGAACAUUAAGGCCUAUUUAUAUACAUAGAAUUUGUUAUUUUUGGCCUUAACUAAUUUAACAUAAAAUCAAAAUAAAAUAAAUAAAUAAAAAUAAAAUAAGAUUUUUUCUAUUUUUGACUUUGGCUUUUACAAAGUCAAAAAUUCUUAUGAGUCAUUGGCUUUUCUCCACAUUUUUUAUUCGGCCUCAUUUUAAUUGGUUGUGUUUCAAUUUGGUCCUUUUCUACUCGUUUUUGUCUCUUAGCGUCCCAAUUGCAUCCCUGACAAGAUUAAAACAAAAAAAAAUACUAAUUUAGCAAGGAUCAAUUCAGAAAUAAACUGAAUUAAACACAAAAUAUCAUGCAAAUUAAUAUGUUAUCAGAUCCUUCCUACUUAGCUCAUGCUUGUCCUCAAGCAUAUUGCUCGUUCAAACACUAGAAAUUAUUCUACAAUUUAUUACAAAUCGAGCUUCUUUUCCACAUCCAUAAUCAAAGUAAAGAACAUAAACAAAUACUCAGAAUAUAUAGUUUAAUCAACAAGUGUCAUAAAAUUGAAAUAUGUGAACUAAAUAAUUUCACUAAACUGGGUUUGAAUCUAAAAUUUGCAAGGCAUUAUAAAGAAAACUAGGCAUGGUCAAACCUUUUUACGCGAACUAGGAUGACAACCCAAGCACCCUAUCCCGGUUACUCAGUUCAAACAGUCUGUUUUUUUUAAGGCUCGGUUAACGGAAUGUUUGCAAGUUAUCGACUUGUCACUCGAACCUUUUUACACGAGAUAAAAUGACAACCCAAGCAUCCUAUCUCGGUUACUCAAUUCGGUCACAUUUUCGAAAAUUUCACUCAUAACUUGAGCCUUUAUUUAUUUAUUCAUUUUAUUUAUUAAUUUAUAUACAAGCAAACAUUUUUUCAAACAAUCAAUUUAUAUGAAAAGUCUAGUUACAUAUAUCAACCUUAAAACACAAAUGUCGGCUAAUCUAGAUACUUUGAACACUUUAAUUUAAAAUUUGCCCAAUUGUCCAAAUUGACUACGUAAUGAGAUUAGAGGCUCAAUGUCGGAAUAAACUAUCGAGUAAUUCUAGUAUAAGAUUGAACAUAUGUAAAAGAGAGACAUGCAGCAAAAAUCAUGCAUGCAUACUUAAUUACAAUUUUCAAUCCCCCCUACUUACUCUAUGCUUGUCCUCAAGCAUAUUUUAUAUGCAAUAAAGUUCAGUAACUCAAACAAAAAGCAAAGAGAAAUGUUAAGAAUACUCCCCAUGUGUUUCUAACGAUGUUGUCGGCGUUGGGAAAUAAUUGUCAGCAUUUAGCACGAAGUGCCCACGCCACCAUCAUUAUCCGACUUUUGGAAAAAUUCAUAACCUGUUACGCUCUUGAAAAUAAAAAAUUCAUUGGAUUAAAUAAAAAUUUAUUUAUUUACAACCUAAAUCUUACUAAAACUCAAAAUUAAAUUAAUGAAAAUAAACUUGGGUUGCCUCCCAAAAAGCGCUUUUGUUUAACAUCGUUAACUGGGCGACCUGGAAAUUUAUUUAACCGGCUCUUCGAGGACUAUCUCCUCAACCAUGUGGACUUAAAAAUUCUCGUAGAAAGGCUUUAAUUUUUGUCUGUUGACCUUAAUUUUUUUUUCAGAUUCUUCGCUUUUAACCUUGACUGCACCAUGUGGAAACAUGUAAGUAACAACAAAAGGCCCUAACAAUAAAGUAAUACUUUCUGUCCUACCAUAAAUUGUUUACGGGUUAUCUUUUGGUCAUGGUAUGCUUUGAACUUAUCCUUAUAAAUUUGGGCACUUUCAUACGCUUCUCGUCGAAUUUCCUCAAGUUCCUGAACAUGUAACUUACGAUGCUUACAUGUAGCUUCUAACUCCAUGUUGCAUUGCUUGACCGCCCAAAACGCUUUAUGUUCUAGCUCAACAGGAAGAUGACAUGGUUUCCAAAAAUUAGGCGAUAAGGAGACAUACCUAUGGGUCCUUUAUAAGCUGUACGGUACGCCCAUAUUGCAUCGUUUAGUCACAAACUCUAGUCUUUUCUAUUCGACUUAACGGUCUUCUCCAAAAUCAACUUGAUUUCUCGAUUCGACACUUCUUCUUGACCGUUUGAUUGAGGAUGAUAAGUCGUAGUGACUCAUUGCACUACCCCGUAUUUUUUCAAAAGUGUGUCGAUUACCUUAUUGCAAAAAUGCGUUCCACGAUAGCUGAUCAAUGCUUGCGGUGUGCCAAAUCUAGAAAAAUAUAGCUCUUUAGAAAAUCGACUAUCGUUUUGGCAUCAAUAUGACGAGUGGCUUUUGCUUCCACCCACUUCGACACAUAGUCCACUGCAAGUAAAAUAUAGACGUUACCGUAUGAAGAGACAAAAGGUCCCAUAAAAUCUAUGCCCCAUAUAUCAAAUAUUUCACAAACAUGUACAGGGGUUAGAGGCAUUUCAUUUUUCCGACUCAAGUUUCCUACGCUUUGGCGCGUUUCGCAUGUUUUACAGAACAAAUACACAUCUUGUAAAAUACGUGGCCAAUAUAGUCCACAUUCAAGUCCUUUAUGUGCAAUUUGUUUAGGGCCAAAAUGUUCACCACAUGCAUAAGAAUGACAAAAAGAUAGAAUUGAUUUUACCUCAGUUUCUGCAACACAUCGUCGAAUUACCUGAUCGGAACAGUAUUUCCAAAGGUAGGGGUCAUCCCAAAUAUAGUAUUGCGAUUCACGUUUGAUCUUAUCUUUUUCAGACCGCGAUAAGUUAGAAGAGACUAUACUUGUAGCAAGAUAAUUCACCAUGUCCGCAUACCAGGGGAAAACUGUCUGAGUAGCGAGCAGGCUUUCAUCUGGAAAAUUGUCUUUAAGUGGUGUGAAGUCCUUCGAUGGAGGUCUUCGGCUCAGAUGGUCAGCUACCAAAUUUCCGCGUCCUUUUUUAUCCUUUAUUUCUAGAUCGAACUCUAUGGACAUCUACAAAUCUUUAAAGGAUUAAUCUCUAUAAAGUAUAAAACGAAAUAGAAUACCAUGAUUCCACCAAAUAAAAAACUAAAACCUAUUAUCUUUAUCGGUCAAUAUUUUGAAACAUACAAGUCCUAAUUUAUGUCAAUGAAAUAUUAAUUAACUUUUUUAUUCCUUUAUUAAACAACUAAGUUGCUUAAAUGAAAUAUUAAUUUAUUUCAACUAAUUUUCUUAAUAGAUUUUUUUUGUUAAAAAAAUAGUUUUCUUUAUUUAUUAAUAAACAAAUAUCAUGUUAUUCAAUACAUGAUUCAAUAUAAAAACAUAAUUAUCAAAGUUUUAAAAAAUAUAAAAUUUAUUUAAUAGAAUUUAAUUAAUACAUAUAAUUAAUCUGUGCAUUGCAUCGAAAAUAAUUAAUUUAUACUAUUUUUUAUUAUAAAAUCCUGGGAAAAAAUGGUACAAUUAAAGUACACCAUAUAAAUAAUAAGAGCAACUGACAAAACAUCUCUAAAAUUUCAAGGAGUUCCAUCAACAAGCUAAAUUGAGCAUAAAUUUUAUCUUCUUUUUUUUAGCAUAGCUCAGCUACCUGUUUAGAAUGUAGUAGACCAUGCAUAAAUGUGGGAAAGCAGCAAAUAUGUAUGAAAUUCCAGAAACCGGUAUGGUUUUCCUUUCUGUAUGCUACCGAUAUGCAUAAACGAGAACAAAUAACAAAUAUAUAGAUUAAUAUACCCAACAUAAAGACAAACCUUCACACUUCAUAUCCGCCAUAUACUCGGUCUGAUACCAAAAUUAAAGACCCAACUUUUUAGCAUGUCAACAAAAUACAGUAACCAUCCAAUUCAUGCUCAUGGAAAGGGGGACCCAAUUUAUGGGAGAAUAUUAAAUGAAUUAGAAUAAUCAAGAUGUUAAAUUACAAGGUCAGGCAAGGACCCACGUUCCUACAAAUCCAAGACAGAAAGAAUCAGGAUUUAUAAAGAUAGUAGAUGUAACGAUCCGAAAGUCAGUAGUGUAAAAAGUGUAAUUUUAAGAUCUCGUUUCUAUAAACUGUACUUAUAAAUACUUUUAUUAAAUAUUUAUAAAAUUAUAUUAGGAGUGAAUUGAAUUGUGGUCAUGUGAUUUUGUCGAAUUAAUGCUUAAUUAGGAUAUACAGAUUAAAUCUUAAAAAUGUCAAAAGUUUAAUUUUUAAGGAAUAUUUAAUUAAAAUAUGACUAAGGGAUUAAUAAACAAUUAAACCCCUACCUUAAUGAUAGUGGACGGUAGGGAAUGUUAAUUGAUUAUUAAUGUUAUAAAAUUUUAACUUAAUUAAAGUUUAAUCUUAAACUAAGGUUAAAAUAAAACAAAAUGGAAAUACUUAGGUGACUGGAGAGAAAGAGAAACACCAUAUUCUAUUCUUCUUCAUGCAAACCGAAUGGAAAAUUAGGGAGAAUGAGGAUUCGGUCAUUGAAGUGGAUUAUUGAAGCUUAAAUCGGUUAGUAUAAUUUAGUUUUUUUAAAAAAAUAAUGUUUUUGAAAUUCUGGGAGCUUGAGUUAGCUGACACAUAUAGUAUUUUUCGAUACUGUUAAAGAUUGAGAAUGUUUCUAUUGAUAAAUAGUUGAAGUUUUAGGAGUUAAUUUGAUAGAUUUUAAGUUUAGAGUUGAAAAAGGAUUAAAUUAUAAAGUUAAUUGAUGGUUUUGUUUAAUAAGGACUAAAAUGUAUAAAUUUCAAAAUUCGUGGUAGAAAUGAGAAAUAGGAAGUUCAAUUAGGACUAGAGUGAAAUUGGCAUAAAAGAUUGGGGCUAGAUUUGAAAGUUAUGUUAGCCCCAGUUUUAUGGACUAAAUUGAAUAAAAUGCAAAAGUUACAUAAAUUAGCAAUUGAAUGUGAAACUCGUUAUGUAUUGAUAAUUUUGUAUGCUUGUCUUAAUCCGUAGCUAACGCCGACCCAAAUUCCUCGAAAAUGAAAGGAAAAGGCAAAGUCAUCGACGAAUAGCUCAGAGUACAGUUUGUGUUUCUAUAAUCUGAACUAUCUCAAUUGUUUCACUUUUUCAUUGCAUUGUAUGGUAAGUUUAUAAGGUGAAUUAUAAUUGAUUCAAUUCUUUGAAAUGAUUUGUUAUGAAUUGGUUGUCUGUGUAAGGACUGAAUUGAAUAGAUUUAAAAAUAUUAAAUAUUAUUUGAAAUGUGGAAUUGUAAUACUAUUUCGACGAGUUUGCAGUUAAAUAUGAAAAUUAUUGAUUGGUUGAUUGGGGCUAUGAUAUGGAAAUUGUGAAUCGAUUAUAAAUGAAUGUGAUAAACUUAUUACCCUAUUAAUUGUUCGGGUAGGGUCAGGUAAAAUUGGCAUGCCGUAAGAUAGGAAGAAUUCAGGGAUAUAUGACUACGUGCUGGGGAGUGCUAGGCACCACAUUUUGUCGGUUAUACCGAUCAGUGCUAGGCACAUCUAUUUGUUAGUUUUAUUGGCCAGCGUAGGGUGUAACUAAUUAUUUUCAAAUUUAUCCGACUUACACUGGUGUCAAAUUGGUGUGUUGGUUGAAUCCGUGUAUCCCUCUAAGUCUGAUUUAGAUUAAUAAGGAAAUAAGAAUGGGAAUUAGAAUAAUGAAAUGUGAAAUGAAUAGAGUUAAAAAAUGGUUUUGUUCUUUAAAUUCAUGUGAUGGAUAUUGAGAUAAAAUGAGAUACUUAAUGUUUGAUAUUUCAAAUGGUUAUGAGAUGGAAGUGUUAUGCCUCAUACUAGUGUCUUUUGUUAUAUUAGAUAAUGAAACUAUGAAAUAGUAAAAGUUUACAUGAUAACUUGUAGAUCAUCAAUUACUUUUGACUUAUGUGUUUGAAUGAAUUAUAUUAUGUUUAAUGUUUGGAUUAUAGAAAUUUCAUUGAGUUAUACUUAGCGUACGGUUUUAUUUUUUCUGCGUAGGUUAGGUAAUUUUUUAUUUAAUCAUCAACUUCAGCAUCCAAAGACAAUCCCAGACUCAAGUGUUGGUGAUAUUUUUAUUUUGGUUAUGGCAUGUACUUAAGGUGUCAUUUGGUUAAGCAAUGUUCUAUUUUGGAUUUUUGUUGGCAUUUUGAGAAUCAUAUUUAUUUGUGUGUAGGUGUUGGCAAAGCUCGCAUUUAGUGGUGAUAUUAUUGAGUAGCUUAGGCAUGUAUGUUUAUUUGCUUAAAUAAUGAUCAUGUGAUGUGCCAUGAAAUUUGUAAUAAAGGUGGAUGGUAUGCUUAUGUUGAGAUGAAAUAAAUUGGUAAUAUUAGUGCAUGCUUAUGAGGUUGAAUUUGAAAUUGCUUGAAUGGCUAAAUUGAUGAAAUUUUGUUAGUUGUAUUGAAGUGUCUUGGAAGGCAUAUUGGAAUGGUUUGAAGGUGGUGUUUUGGUUGAAUUUGAAUUGUUGAAUUGAGAUGCUAAUUGUGGAAUGUUAGUUAGGCACUUAGGUUGAUUGUUAUAAGUGAUGUUUGUAGUAUAAUUUUGAUUCUUUUGAAUUGGUUGAGAAUUGGUAUAAUGUAUUUUAUUGCUUGUGGCAUAAGUAAAUUAGGGUUAGAAAGCUUGUUUUGAAAGAUUUCUUCAAGUAUACACGGCCAGAUACACGGCAUGACACACGGUCGUGUGUCAUACAUGGUCAUAUGGCAUGGCCGUGUUGUCUGUAUGUUUAGGGUGAUUUUUGGUACACAUGGCCACAUUAUGUUACAUGACUUUGCGACACAACCGUGUGGUAUCUUUUGAAUAUUUGCACUUUUGACUCACACGGCAUCAAUGAGUUACACGGCUUGUUCACACGGCUGUGUGACUCCAACUCCACACGGCUUGCCCACACAGUCUUAGCCUUUCACGCGGUCGUGUGACCCCUUUUUACAAAAUUUUUCCUACCUUUUUAUUUUUGUUUCAAUUUGAUCCCUGAUUAAUGUUAGGUUAAAUUAAAGCUUUCGUAAGCUUAAUUGAAACUCGAAAUUAAUUGAAUUGCAUUUUAUACUUGAUUAUAUGUGGUGAAAUGAUAUUGUAUUGAGAUUUUGAAGUAUGAAUGGUAUGUAGUUACUUUGUAUUUGUUUGUAGCAUCCUAUUACUCGGGUUCGGCGUCCGGACCAGAUAAGGGCUAUUAGAUUAGGAAUAGAGAAUAGUAAGAUUUGAUGAGAAAAUAUAUAUAUUAGUUAAUUAAUUUCUUAUUAAUAUACUAUCACCUUAAUUAAUAGUUAAUCAAAUGAGUGGUAAAAUUUUACGAUAUUUUGAAGAAAACACUAUCAUUGCAUUAUUUAAUGCGAAAGCUUAUUUGUUUUUUUUUUAUUAAUUUCAAUUUUACUUUAUGAUAUUUUAAUUACUUUAAAAUCAUAAUCAUUAUUAUUUAUUAUAGUAAGACUUUAUAAUUGCUUAGAAAUUAAUUUUAAUAUACUAGAAGUAGAUGAGUUGAAUAUAAGGUAAGUAAAAAAUAUAUACUUAUCAUAUAUCUAUAAUUUUUUAUUAUAAUAUAUAUAAAGUAUUAAAUAAGUUAAUAUAGCUUAAUUAUAUUCAACAACUAAAAUAAAUAAUAUUAUUUCUAUUAUAAAAUAAAUACACAGAAGGUAAAGAAUAAAGAAAAUGAGAGAGCAAAGAGAGAGCGUAUUUUAUUGAUCAAUCGAGAAUGAUUACAAUGCUUCAUCGGAGUUUCUAUUUAUAGGCAUAAGAAGUAUAAAAGUAGUAGAGAUCUAAUUCUAAUAAUUAUUAGAAUUUAAAUUACAUUAAAACCUUAUCUUGAUCAUAAUGGACAUCCACUUAAUAAAACAUUCAUAACACUCCCCCUUGGAUGUCUUUUGAUAGAUAAUGUGCCUCGUUAAAACCUUAUUAGGAAAAACCUUGUAGGAUAAAAACCUAAUGAAGGAAAAAGAGUACACAAUCUAUAAUACGCAUAAUAUGCUACCUCAUUAAAGACCUUACCAGAAAAACCCAAUGGGACAAAACAUCGAUUAAGGGAAAAAAAGUGCAACGCAUAUUUACUCUCCCUCAUGAAAAUAUCACAUAUUUUAUUAUAUUCUAUUUAUUCAAUCUUGAAUACCAGUUUUUCAAAUUACUAUUUGAAUGUAUUUUCUAAGCAUUUAUAUUACCAUUCUUUUAAAAAUCAUGAGUGAAGGAAAUUUAGGGAAAUAUAGUUUGAUCUCUUGAGGAGAUUCAACAAUAAUCAUAACAAACUUUAAUCAUGAUUCUUUUAUAAAUACACAAAUAGGUAUUUUGGAUAAUUUUAUAAUCCUCUUUCAACUACUAUUCACUAAGUCAAAUUUACCACAUAUGUUCAAAUUAUUUCAAUUCAUAUAAAUGAACAAUUUCUCGAGAAUUUCAAUAUGUUUCUAGUAUUCUAAAUCCUUGAAGGAUUUUAAUAUAAACUUUACACUGUAUAGUGAUUCAUAAAAGGUUCUAACAACAACCAUUAGAUGCAAGUUAAAUCUUUUAUGGAUUGCCAGUUUAAUAAUAUAUAUAAAGGUUAUUGCAUCCACCACAAAAGAAUAUUAUAUAUUUUCAUAAUCAAUGUCAGGACUUAGCAAAACAUCAUAUUUUUAUUCCACUUUUGCAAAACUACUUCAUUUGCAACCUCAGUGGCUUUAUAAAUUUAGAUAUUUAGAUUACUGAUCCAAACUACGAAUUUAUUUGUACUUGAGUUGUGUCUUUCUAUUUUGAUCAAUUUAUUCUAUAUCUAUAUUUCUCAAUAGAUUUAUUCAAGAUCCUCAUUUUGUUUUAUUAUUUCAAUAAUAAUAUUUUAUGCAAAAUCAUUGUCGAUCACUUUUAUUAUUCAGUUCCACAUUUUCUCGAAUUGACAUAACUUAUUGAGAUCUCUUAUUUUCAUUAUUUUAAAAUUCAGUUUUAGGUACUUGAAUAUCUUCUGAAGUUUUACUUAUUAGUUUUGUCUUUGGUCUCGUAUGGAGCACCCGUCUCCACUAUAUGACCAUCUAGAAGAAUUUUCAUCUUUGGAACCGAUCAAUCUAUUAUUUGUUUUAACUGAUUGUCCUAUUGGUUAUUUUCAUUAAGUUUGUAAAUACAUCUAACAGUUAACUUGUAAUGAGUUAUUGUAAUGACCCAAAUUUUACUAUUAUCGGAAAGUGAAUUUUCGGGUCUCCGUUUCUGAAAAAUGGAUUUGUAAAUAUUUAUUAAAAAUAUUUACAAAGUAAAAUGAGUGGUUAAUUAGAGUUUAAUUAAGUGAAUUUAAUUAUUAUAUAAGUGUGGUAUUGUGUUUAUUACUGAAAUGAAUUUAUUUGAAAAUGUGGUGAAAUAAUUAUGAAUAAGUGUUCAUUGUAGAAUUUGAUUAUAUGUUAAUGAAAAGUGAAUUGAAUUAUAUUGAAUUGUAUUGAUUUAUUAAAUUAUAUGAUUAAUUGAUAUAUAUACAUAUUGAUUGAAAACUGGAAAAUGAAUUAGAAACCCUAUUAACAAUAUCGGGCUAAGUCGGAUAUAGUUGGCGUGCCAUAGGAUUGGAAGUGUUCAGGGAUAUUCUGACUUUGUGUCGAUGAGACACUAUAAGUGUCACCUUACUGUUACUGUUCCGGAUUUGUUCAGAAGAGGUACUCCCUACCUUAAUGUUACUGUUACUGUUUCGGAUUUAUUCCGAUGAGGUACUCUGUGUACCACUGCUACUACUAUUACUGUUACUGUUACCAUUACGGUGUAUUCCGGCUUCAGUCGAUGAAACACUAUAUGUUAUCCAGGUGUGUAGAUUGGAUCCGUGUAUCCGUCCAGGUCCGAGUCAUGUUAAUAGGGGUAAAUAAAGGUACUGAAUAAUUGACUGCUACUAAAUAUUUGACUGUUGCUGAAUUAUUGAUUAUUACUGAUGACUAACUAUUACUGAAAUGGAUAAGUACAAAAUACUAAUGGAAAUGUGAUAGUUGAAUGUUAUUUAAUGUUACUGAAUAGUGAACUGAAGAAUGACUGAGACAUAUGAAUUAAGUAACUCAGAAUUAGAUAUGAAUGGGAAAAAUAUUGUUCAAGUGAUUUAUGAAUUUAUUUUGGAAAGCUAAUCGAAUUAAUAGAUGAUAAGAAUUGAAUGAGUUAUAAAGAAUUUACCCAUGAAAUGAAUAAUUGAAUACUUAUGAUCAAUAUAUGUUUUUAAGUGUAUGUUAUAUUAUUAAGUGUUUGGAUUAUAGAAAUACCACUGAGUUCAUACUCAGCGUACGGUUUGUUUCCGUGUACAGGUUAGGUUAAGGUCAGACAGUUGAAUCAGCAUUUUAGGCCAAUCUCGAACUCAAUAAGGUAAAGCAUGUUAAUUGUUGAUAAUGGCAUGUACCUAGGAUGUCUUAAGUGUGUUAUUUUGCAUUGUGAUUGUAAUAGUGAAAUAAGUAAAUUGAUAAUUGAUAAUGAUACAUGAUACAUGAUAAGUGUUUUAAGUCAAGUAUUGGAUAAUAUAUAAAACGUAUUUGUAUUGGUUGUGGUUUGAAAUUUGCAGGGUUGGCUAGUAAAUUGUGAAAGGCUCAUUAUUAAGUCCACACGGCCUGGCACACGGGCAUGUGACCAGACUGUGUGAGACACACGGCUUGCACACGGGCAUGUUGUUAGGCCUUGUGUCCCCUACACCUAAAAUGUUACAAUUCAGUAUGUCCAGGUUUUACCACACAGGCAGAGACACGGGCAUGUGUCUCAGCCUUGUGGAUGACACGGUCUUAAACACGGGCGUGUGAUACAUCUGUGUGAAAACUGCACUAGAUUCGAAAAAUAAAUCCACAGGGGCUAAGUACACGGGCAUGUGACUUGGCCAUGUGAAACCAAUUUAUUCAUGGGUAACAAGUCAGAGAGCUCCACGAGUAGAGGACACGAGCGUGUCCAGGCCGUGUGAGCCACACGGUGUGCCCACACGGGUGUGUUAUGGAACACACGGGCGUGUUAUCUAGACCACACGGGCGUAUGGUACUGUUCAUUAAAGGAAAUUUUAAAAUUUUUCGAAAGAUUUUAUAAGCUCCCAAUUGAGUCCCGAUUUAUUUUCUAAUUUGGGUCUCGAGGGCCCAUUACAGAGACAGUAGGGCAAAUUCUUGAAUUGCUUAAUAAUUAUUUCUGUAUUAUUCAUGUUUGAACUGUACUGACCCGUAAUACUUCGUAAUCCUGUACCGACGACGGUAUAGGGUUAGGGGGAUUAACAGUUAUCCUUAUUGAACUUCUGUUUCAAAUUACUCACCUCCUAACUCAUUACAAGUUAUUAUUUCUCUCCCCCUAAUGUCAAGAAAACUAUCGAAUCAAAAUUGUAAUCACAAAUCAUGUCAUAAUUGAAUCUCGAAUACAUUCAAAACAUCUAAUAAUAUAAAGAAACUUGUAAUUAAUAUAUAUUCUCAACUUUCUUUGAGGAUUCACUCAUCUUUGUGCGUUGUGGUGGAGCACUUGGAACAUAUACGCACAUACAAAAAUUUAAAGAUGAGAAAUAUUUAGCUAUUGAUCAAAAAUCAAUUGUAAUGGGGAGUAUUUAUAACUUAUUAGCUUGAUGCGUAUAACACAUAAAUCAACAUAAUAUCAUGUUGAAAUAGGAAGUUUAGUUCUCAUAAGUAAUGGUUUAGACAUUAAUCAAAGGCGUUCAAUCAACAAUUUUUCUAAACCAUUAUGUGUAUAAAUAACAAUUUUUUACAAAAUUUUUUCAAACUCAAUCAAUAAAAGACAGAUAUAAACUCAUUAGUAUUGGCAAGAUAAAUUAUCUUAAUUACAUGAUCUGAAAUUAAUUAUUUAAAAAAAGCAAUCUUGCAAACGACAGGUUGCAAAUUAAUCAUACAUGUGAUUAUUUUGUAGAUGCAUCUACCAAAAUCAUAUAAUAUCAAAACCAUCCACAUGGUGGAUGAAUGGCUCAUUUUCGUUUCAUAAAUGCAAGACAUUAAAUCUCAACUUUAACUAGUGAGUUUCUAACAAUUAAUUUUCAUUGAGAACAAACAACAUAUGAUAAUUCUUUUAAAUUAAAGAAUCUUCUGGUUCUUUAGUAAAUGUCCAUAUGAAUUCUUAAUUAUUUUUUGCAUCAUAUAUGAGCUAGGAUGGUCUAACUAGUCACGCCAAGUAGUAAAUGCAUUUGUAUUAGUAAACUUCUGGUUUACUUUAACAUGUGUUUUAAUUAUACUAAAUUGUAACAAAUUAAUAAUUUUAUUAUCAUUCAUUUUACUUUGUAUCCACAUAUAAGUGCUAUUGUGACAUUUAUUAAUGAAAAUGUCCAAAUCAAUGUGAAUAUUAUAAUGUCACUAAGUCAACAAAAUAAAUAUAAUUUCCAAACAAUUAUAUGCAAUAUUCGUUUCAAGGAAUAUGCCAAAAUCUUCAAAUAUCUAAAAAAAAAAAUUUAACAACUUCAGGUGCAUCCAACCAUAAUGAGCUUUAGAUAGAAUUAUCAUAUUUUAUUGCUUAUAAAUAGAUCUUUCACAGUCAAAUAUUUUGUUUUCAAUCCCUUAAUAGGGAUGAUGACAGAAGAAGAUCACAAAGAUUAUAAAAUAAAUAUAAAUUAAUAACCCAAUUCUCUCUUUUUCAUCCUUUCAAAAUAGAUAUUUAUAGCAAUAGUGAUUCAUAUGAAAUAUAAUAUUUUCCUCAUUCACAAUUUCAAUAUAAGAUCCAUUAUAAAUAUCUUUUAAAAUCAAUGGAUUAACUAUCACAAGAUAUUAAUAUAUUAGCUCUUUUAGAGCUUUCGACUAAUUCUAUACUAUCAAAUAUUGGAAUAAUAUUUGUUUGUUUUAGCACCAAAUAAGAUAAAUACUUUCUAUCUAUAAUGAUAGAAUUUAUUACUACAUUCUCAUAUCCUUCCUUAAAAGAAUAUUAACAAAAACAAAAUAUUUAGGUGUACACCACAUAUAUGGCCAAUAAUUUUUCAUAUCACAUUGAUAACAUAAGUUAUCUUUAUCAUUUGAAGAGUUAUCUUAAGAACUCUCAUUGUUUUCUUAUUUAUUACUAUGUUCCCAUUUUUAGUGGUUCAUGAUUAUAUCUUUUAUUUUCUUUAUGUUUGCGUUCACUUCGAAGAAUGCAACUAGUAGGACAAACUUUUAAACGUCUCCAUUAAUUCUUUAUUUCAUAAUAACCAUCGUAAACAUGCGUGAAUUUCAAAUUAAAAUCAAUCUAUUCAUGUUGUCAUGAUUAUUCUCCAAUUAUAAUAAACAUGAUAUAAUAAAUAAAUCAUAGUAAAAUAUACCUGAAGAUCUAAUAGUUAAAAGCUCUAAUGAUUAUCCAUAAUGCGCAGGCCUUAAAUGAAGACUGAAAUUGCAAUAGCUCUAGAAGGCAAUCGACAACAACUUGAACAAUAAAUUUGGAGUGACCUUAUUAUAAAAUAAAAAAGAAUCGCAUUGAUAACGUGUUAUAAAAUAAAUAUACAAAAAGUAAAUAACAAAGAGAAUGGGGAGUAAAGAGAGUGCAUAUUUUAUUAAUCAAUCGGAAAUGAUUACAGUAUCUUAUUAGAGUCUCUGUUUAUAAGCAUAAAAAAUAUAAAAGAAGUAGUGAUUAAAUUCUAAUAACGAUUAGAAUUUAAACCUAACAAUUUCACAUUAAUGACCACAAUUAAAAUAUAAAAUGUAAAACGUGAGAAACUAGUUUAAUCUAAAAUCAUAUAUUUGAUUUUUAUGAGGUGAAAUUAAAUGAGAUUUAAUUGGUUUCACAGUAGUAUACAUUUGUCGUUUUUUUAGCAAUUCUUUAAAAGGCAACGCCAUAAUAAGUUGGAAGAAAAUCUAAAUUAGUGAUUCAGUACAGGUCCCAACUUUUCUUGAAGCUGGUCGACUUUUUUAUCUUUUUUUUUCCCAUUAUCAAACUCACCAAGAUAGUCAAGGGUUGAUGCAGAGCUUGAGAACAAGCAAUUAAGAUGGAUCUCUUGAGUUGGUUAAUGUACCUUGUUUCCUACGUGAUCUUGUUUCAAGCCCUCCAUGCAAUCACAAGAAAAUUGGGAAGAAGGGCCAAGCUUCCGCCUGGUCCACCAACAAUUCCCAUCUUCGGGAACCUCUUUCAGCUUGGUGAUAAUCCCCGUAAGUCUCUUGCCAAACUUGCCUCGGUUCAUGGGGACAUCAUGACUUUGAAACUUGGGCAAAUAACUACUGUAGUUUUCUCGUCUGCAACGAUGGCCAAAGAAAUCCUCCAAAAGCAUGAUGCCGUAUCUUGUAACCGAACCGUUCCUGAUGCCAUUCGUGCCCUUCGACACCACGAAGUCGGAUUGCCUUGGAUGCCUGCUUCAACCACAUGGAGAA
rnacentral:lncRNA from 1 species